AAUCCAAAAAAAAACAGAGACAUAGAGAAGACAUAAAGACUUGUGACCUUCCUCCAGCAAAAGGGAACUUCAACUUCCCCUCACCGUAAGUUGUUGAUCCAACCAACAAAUACAAACCCAGAGAAACCAGGACAAAAAACAAAAGCCACAAAGAAGGGGAGAACCACAAACAAAUAAUACAAAAAAACACAGAUGAAAAAUGAACUAACAUAGAUAAUACAGAGAGAGACCAAGAGGAACAAGAAUAGAGAGAGACAGAGGGAACAAGAGAAGUAAAAAAAUAAAUAAAGAGAUGACAAGCAGAGAAAAGCAAGAACAGAGGUGAAGUGAACGAAAAACAGAAGUAAAGGGGAAGAAAGUAACAUUGGUUAGCCAGCCCUCCAUCACCAUCGCCUUCGUCUUUAAGUAGCAGCUCCAGGUAAGUCUUUCUUUCUAUUUCCCCCGCUUUCAAUUCUUAAUAAUAAUUGUAAUAAUAAUAACAAACAUGGAUUGUGGAUCAUAAGGAACAGCAAAUGAAAGGCCUAUUGUCAUGAUAUAUAUAUAUAUAUAUAACAGUAUGUAAGAAAUGGUUACGGUGGCGAAAUUGAAAUCGAUGGCAGCGAGUGAAAGAAGGAUUAUCGCAGAAAUUGAGGUGCUGGGCUGAAAUUAAAAUUGAUGCCAGAAAUGAGAAAACGGCCAAGAAUAAAGAAAACAGAGAGUGAAAGAAGGAGAUUCAAACCUUUUUCGCAGAGAUCAAUGGUCAGACGUUCGCUGCUCAUCUGCUCCUCAGUUGAGUUUCAAAGAUAGAGUAACAUUAAUUAGGUUUAUUGCUUUGAUCUUCUUCUGUCUUUAGUCUUUAGCGUUUUGGCAUUUUAGAUGGAAAAAAACGACGUCGUUUAAUGACAGUGAAAAUAAAAAAAAAAUUGACCGGGUCUCACCCGGGUUUGGCCGGGUGGACCGGGUUUUCCCGGGCCAAUUCACUACAAGAUUUAACAGUUUUACCGACGGAAUUUUUCCGUCGGUGUAAGACACAUAUUCCAUCGGUAAUUAUAUUACCGACGGAAUCAAAGACGGAAAUGAUCCGUCGGUGAAUCGUUCGUCGGUAAUGUUUUGUCCGUCGGCAAAUCCGUUGGUAAUAGAAUUACCGAUGGAUUUACUGACGGAACAGACGCGUCGGUAAUAAUUUUUUUAUUACCAACGGAAUUACCGAGGGAUUUACCGAAGGAAUUACCGACGGAAGUACCGACAGAAGUUCCGUCGGUAAUUCCGUCGGUAAUUAUUGAAAAACAUUUUAAAAAAAAUUCAUUUUAUAAAAUUAUAAAAUAAUUAAAUUAACAUAAAUUAACACUGUAUAAUAUAUACUCAAAAUGCUUGGAAAAAAGAAUAAGAAAAUCAAUUCAAACAAAUUUGCAACAAAUAAAUAAAAUAAAAAAAUAAAUUCAACUAAAAAAAUUCAUAUGAAAAAAAUGAAGUUGCAAUUGCUAAAAAUUUAAAAAUCCUAUAAAUAAAUCUACUAAAAAUUGAUCUCAUAUGAAAAAAAAAUCUCAAAACAACUUUUAUACAAUUAUUAAGAACAAAAACAAUUAAAAAUAAAAUAAAGAACAAAAAUAGUGAAAAAAAUCAUGAAAAAAGAAGAAAAAAGAAAAAUCUUACCUUAAUGUAGUUGCAAGUGAAGCUAAGGAGAGAAAAAAAAUUUCAUUAAGCAUAUUAAUUAAAAAAAAACUAAGAGGAUAAAAGAAGAAAGAAGAAGAAGACAUACCCAAGCAUGGAAGAAAAGAGAAGGAGAUGAGGAGAGAAAAGAAGAGAAAGAAAUAGAUAAGAAAUGAUGUUUUUUACAUAAAGUGAAGAAGAAGAAGAAGACAUACCUUAAUGAUGUUUUUUACAUAUAGUGAAGAAGAAGAAGAAGAAGAAGUAGAAGAACAAGAAGAAGAAUAAUAAUAAUAAGAAACGGGUCUGUCUCUUGUGAAAUAAGGGCAUUCAGGCUUUUUAUUGGGACGCUUUACCGACGGAUUUACCGGUGGAAUUACCAACGGAAUUACCGACGGAAUAAAUUCCGUCGGUGAUUCCGUCGGUAAAUUUGUUGGUAAAAAUGACACGUCAUCAUUUUUUUUUUUGCUUUGUUUUAAUUUUUUUUCCCACGGUAAUUCCCUCGGUAUAUAUGUUUGUAUUUAUCAAUUUUCUGGUAGUGAUUCCCGAGCGGGUUUUUGCCUCAACCCGGACCGGUCCCAGGCCCGGGUCGGCCGGGUCCUGGGUCGACCCGCCGGGCCGGUCCGGGUUUUAAAACUCUACCCAAUUGAGUAAUGAAUGUAACUCUGGUCCCUUGGUUUGAACCACAAGUGACUAACUAGCAGACUAGUCAACAGCCUAUUAGAGGAAUUGAAUGAAAGCAAUUGAAUGCAGGAAGAGGGCCAGACUAGUAAACAGCCAACAGCGGCAGUUCUCCUCCAGCAUGUGCAACUGAGGAGCCGUGAUGAAGGCGACACUCUUCAAAAUAAAUCUUGAAUCGAUUGACUGAUGCUCUUUUCUUCUUUGUCGGUGUAUAAAUUAGUGGUUAGCUAAUUAAUGUCCCACGGCCAGGCUAUCGAUACCAUCCAUUACCAGGAUGAGUGCGAGACUCUUCAAAUCCAAUUGUCGAAUGAAUGUAACUCUGGAAUUAUUCCAAAUCCACAAGUUUGAUAGUGUUGUUUUAAAAUUUUAAAGGGAUGAAAAAAUAAUAAGAAAAAUAAAAAGAAAAAUUAUCAGCACCAAACCAAAAAAGCACUCACCAACUACUUUUUUUAAUAUUAGUUAUAUUUAUUAAAUUACAAAAUUGGAAAUAAACCACCAAUAGAUAAAAAAAAAAGACCCAAUGAAAAUAUACAAAUGGGCGCCCGAAUAGAUAUCUCAAUUAGUGUAAAAGCUAUAUUUCUGUGUCUAUAAAUAUCAGAUAGAUGUUUUUAUGGAAAUAUCUUGUCAAUAAAUAUUAAAAUAUUUGGUAUCGCAACACGAAGCAUAUAUCUUAUCGUGUUUAAUAAUGUUUUCAUUUGAAUAAAUUUUGUAUUUAAUCAUAUGAUUAUCCAUGCCAAUAAAACGAUGUUUACCCAAUAUAAUUUUAUUUAUUUAUUUUGUAUUUCAAAAUAUUAUGAAAUCAGCAUCACAUGCUUAUAUUUAAUUAAUUAAUUAAAUGAAAAAAAUAUCUACAAAAAAGAGAAAUUAAAAAAAACAACAACAAAUAAAAAUACUCGAGAUAUCCCGCGUCAUUUUCAAAAUAAGUGAAAAAUCCUAUAGAAAAAACAUAUAAAAAAAAAUCAAUGGAGCCCGAUAUCCAAUUAAAUAAAAGUUAAAGGAUGAAACUGAAAUAAACAUGAGUUUAAAAAAGGAAAAAAACCAAGCAAACUCGGGCAAACCUCCUAAACCUUGGUUAAUUUCUAAAACUUGCAACUCAUGAAAUCCUAGACUCGAGCUUGAUUACGAAGCACAAUUCUCAACUAAUUUAAUAUUGAAUAAUGAAAACAUGAAAAAAUCAAUUUAAAAAAAAAUAUCAAAGUGAAAAAACAUAGCAAUCAAAAGAAUGAUGAUUAAAUCUGAUAGGAAAAAAAACUUAUGAAGGAUGAUAUUGUAAAAAAAAUCAAAUUAAAAAAUUAUCUAAAAUAAAAAAAUAGCAAUAAAAAAAAUAGGGAUAAAUUUGAAAGAUAAAAAAACUAAAAAGGGAUGAAAUUGUCAAAGAAUUUGGAUUUAAUAAAUUAUUCCAAACAAAACAAACAAUGAUAAAAAAAACAUCACCAAAUCGGAAGGAAUAACAAAUUAAUUCUUAAUGACUAAUGAAUGUAACUCCGGUCCCUUGUUUGAACCACAAGUGACUCACUAGAUAUCUCAAUUAAUGAGAAAGCAGACUACUAAACAGCCAACAGUGGCAGUUCUCCUCCAGCACCAGCAACAGACGAGCCGUGACGAAUGCACCACUCUUCAAAAUUAUCACAAUGCGAGACUCUUUAAAAUUGAAAGAAAAAAAUAAUAAAUUCACCACCUAAUAAUUAAAAAAUAAAAAUCCAAAAAUAAACAUUGGUUAGAGAUUUAGACAUUGAGUUACUUAAGUCCAAGGAAGACUGCAUCCUUUGAAAUGAAAGGUUAUCUCCACAAUGCAUUUUAAAAAAUUUAUUCCAUGCAUGAUAUUAAUUAUCUAAAUUUAUUUCUAAUCUUAUUCAUGAUUUAUUUUAAUAAACAAUUGGUGUCGGUCCAUAAAAAAAGAAGACUCGUCGAUAAAAAGAAAUCUUGAUGUCAAUCUCUAAAACUAGAUAUUCAUUGGUUUAAAAACUUUUGACGUUAAUCUUUAAAAACAGGAGAUUUCAUCGAUUUAGAAAAAAACUUUGGCAUUAAUCUUUAAAAAUAUAUGAUUUCAUCGAUUUAGAAAAAAUUAGACAUUAGUCUCUAAAAUAGAUAAUUUCAUCAGUUUUUGAAAAAUAUGAUAUUAAUCCUUAAAAAUAGAAAAUUUCAUUGAUUUAGAAAAAAAAAUUAAUAUUAAUCCCUAAAACUAGGUGAUUUCCUCGAGAUAUAUAUAUAUAUAUAUAUAUAUAUAUAUAUAUAUAUAUAUAUAACAUUUAUAUUUUUUUGAAUCCAAUACAAUAUAUACAUAUCUCAAUAGCGAUAUAACACACACACACACACACAUAUAUGUAUAGUAUUAUUAAUUUUAUCAUUUAAUACAUGUAUACAUAUUUCAAAUAUAUCUAGUACUAUUUUAUUUUUUGUUGAAUAUUAAAUAACAGUAGAUAUAAAAAAACUAUCCCUUAGAUAUCCAUUGUGAUCCUUAUUGAUAUACUCGAAAUCCAAUAAAUAAAGUAUGAAUAUCUGAAUUUUUUACUCGAUGAAUACUGGGCAGGGUAUAGAUAUAAAAAAACUAUCCCGUAGAUAUCCAUUGUGAUCCUUAUACAUAAUUUCAAUAUAUAAAAUCAAUGCAUCAAUACAUUUAUUUUUCUUUUACAAUGAUAAAAUGAUGAUAAAUGCAAAAUAUACAUAUGUUUUUAUUCCUUUUACAUUAUGCUUUUAAUGUGUUUUAAGCUUAUUUGAGCUCAUUAGCUUAUUUGAGCUCAUUGAAAGUAAUUUUAUGAGUUUGGCAUGCCUAAAAGACUUGGUGAAUUAAUUGCUAAAAGAUAAUAAAUUCUGCAUUUGAUGUUUCGAAUCUUGGUUUUUCUGACAGGUUUUUCACCAAGUUGGAGUUACAGAAUGGGAACGUGGCUUAAUAAAGGUUGAACUACACAUAUCCAGCUUUUCAAGAAGAUAUUAUGGAAAGAAAUCUGAUCUUAUUUGAAACUCUAAUAAGACCUGCAAAACCGGGAGGAAAGAAAAGAAGGGUCCCUCUACUGCUGCUACUGGAUUGCAUUUUCUCCCGGUUGCUGGAGUUGUUGAUGACGUUGCUGCUAAUCUUGACUGCAACCAACGUUGGGGAUGGAGAUCUCCACAAUGCAUUUUAAAAAAUUUAUUCCAUGCAUGAUAUUAAUUAUCUAAAUUUAUUUCUAAUCUUAUUCAUGAUUUAUUUUAAUAAACAAUUGGUGAGGGACAGGGAUGAUGUUGUUGCUGUGGCGCAGAGAAGAAGUUCCUGCUGGAUUGGGGGAAAGAGGAGACGAAGGCCUCUCUUGCAACACCGGAUGAAAAUCUAUAUGGUGGCUUUUAGAGGUUGAAGGGGGUCCUCUAUUCUGCUGGGUCUGUGAGAUGAGGGAGAUGAAAGGUGGUCUUUUCUUUUUGUGUUCUGCUCAGUCUAGGUUUUGAGGAUGAACUGAGGGGGAAAAGGGAUGAGUUGAGAGCCAUUUAUGGAGGCCGGGGAAGAAGAAAAGGAAAGGGCUGGGGGGGGCUAGUAUAGGGUUCAUCGCCCCCUCCUCUCUUAUUUUUUUAUGUUUCUCUCUUAUAGGGUUUCUGAUUAUUGCCUCCCUCUAGGGUUUCUUGUAAUUGUCUCCCCCCCCUUUUUACAUACACUAAAAUUUGUAUUUAUAGUGCAAGAGUCUCAUCGCGUGUAAGAAAUAAAGUUUCAAUCAAACUCAUUCUCUUCUUUAAAGUUUGAAUUUGAUUAAGAAUCAAAUUCGAAAGCGGAUAACUAUUCUUAUCUUGAAGAUAAGGAUAGAACGAAAAAAGCACAUUGUAGUCCCUAGUUUUCGUGCAAGCUGACAAAUCACAUUUUUCAUCGAAAUAAAUCUCUGAUCUUUUAAUUUUACGUUUUAAACCCCGUAAAAUUAAAUCAAAAGCCAACGGGCCAAAAUUAGAUUAUAACAGUUGCCUCCUUUUUACAAUGCUUGCGGUGCAAAGGCAUCAAAAAAUUCAUUUUCUUUUGACUCUGAAUAGUAAGUUUUGUAAAGAAAAAUAAGCAUGAAAACCCUUCCUCUUUUCUUUUGAUUGAUUUUUUUGUUUGUUUUUUUUAAAAAAAUGGUCUAAUUGUUCCAGGCGACCUACCCGAUGAUAAAAUGAUAGCAAACUCGCAAGUGGUCUAAUUGUUCCAGGCAACUUGCCCCGUGGAAAGAAUAAAAUGCGAAAAGGAUUUACGAGUAGUCUAAUUGUUCCAGGUGACCUGCCCAAUAGGAAGAAGAAAUGCGAAGGAUUUUGCGAGUGGUCUAAUUGUUCCAGACGACCUGCCCGAUGAAGAAUAAAACGUGAAAAGAAUUUCGCGAGUGGUCUCAUUGUUCCAAGCGACCUGCCUAAUAGGAAGAGGAAAUGCAAAAGUUUUCUGUGAGUGGUCUAAUUGUUCCAGGCACCCUGCCCGAUUAAGAAUAAAACGCGUAAGGGAUUUCGCGAGUGGUCUCAUUGUUCCAGGCGACCUGCCCGAUAGGAAGAAUAAAACGCAAAAAGGUUUUCACGAGUGGUCUAAUUGUUCCAGGCAAUCUGCCCGAUGAAGAAUAAAAUGUGAAAAUGAUUUUGUGAGUGGUCUCAUUGUUCCAGGUGACCUGCACAAUAGGAAGAGUAAAACGCGAAAAGGAUUUUGCUAGUGGUCUAAUUGUUAUAGGCGACCUGUCCGAUGAAGAAUAAAACGUGAAAAGGAUUUCGUGAGUGGUCUAAUUGUUCCAAGCGACCUGCCCGAUGAAGAAAAAAAGGUGAAGGAUUUCAUGAGUGACCUAAUUAUUCUUCGUGACCUGCCCGAUGGGAAGAAUAAAACACGAAAAGGAUUUCGCGAGUGGUCUCAUUGUUCUGGGCGAUCUACCCAAUGAUAAAAUGCGAGGAAUCUUGCAAGUGGUCUCAUUGUUCCAGGAGAACCUUCCCGAUGGUGAAAAAUACAAAGAGAGAUUUCUCCUUUGUUUUGAAAAAUACAAGGAUUUUUCAUAAAUGGUCUCAUUGUGAUAGAUGACCUUCCCAGGUGAAAAAAUAAAAAGGUGGAAAAAUACAAAGUUUUUUUUAGAAGUGGUCUCGUUGUAACGGGUGACACCCAGGUGGAAAAAUACGGAGAUUUUUCGGGUGGCCUAAUUCUUGUAGGCGGUCUACCUUGGUCAAAAUAUUUCUCAAAAGUGAGCAAUUUUCACAAGCAUUUUUAGUUUUUGGCCAUUUCGAGGUAGCCUUCCUUUUGAGGGAUCCCAUUAGGGAUUUCUCUUGUGAAAUUUGCAUAACACAUUCUUCAAUGUUUCAAAGUCUAGAUGAUAUGUGUGCACCUUUACUUGAUUUGAAACAUAGGUCCCCUUUCUUCUUAAUCUUCUUGUUACUUGAUUGAUGAGGACUUGUUAUUUCUGACUUGGGUCAUCUUUGUCAUUUGGCUUCUAGCCCACUCGAGUUGGCCCAUGUGAGUCUCUCCCCAGAUUUGUUACAACUCAGCCUUCAUGGUGUCCAUCGUGCCCCACUUGCUUACUAGAGAUUUCUGUCUCGUCGGAUAAUUUGAGUGGAUUAUUCAUUACUCCUCGUCGCCCUACUAAAAACACUCGGUGUCACUUGUUGAAAGGAUCAAGCUGCCUUUUUGUAAACCAAAUUGCCCCCUUAUGUUGUUAUAGGAAAUGUUCCUCUCUUUUCCUUUUCUUUUUUUCUAAAAGGGAUCGAUUUUCCUUCUAAACACAAUGUUGCCCCCUUAUACUAGCUAUUGCUCCUAGGUGUGCUCUGUCAACGACUUAGACAAAUAAUGGUUUCAAGUCACCAUUCUUUCAUUUUUCUCCUUUUCAACUAGGUGAAGGAAUAUGUGUCUAGAAUGAAUUUUGAAAUUUUGAUCUUGCAUUUUGAAAACAAAAAUUAUUUCGAUGUGAGUUUUAAAACAAUUUGCUUUUGAAAUCUUGCAACUCCUUGGUUAUUUUCUUUCUUGGAAAAGAGAGGAUUUUCUCUUGUGUUUGAUGAUAUUGUCAUUAGUGAAGGUACGUCAUGAGGUGACCUUUUGUUUCUUGUGGGUUUCCAAGUGAACGACUCAAGAAAAAGCUUGAGGUUGUGUUUGAGAAAAAAUUGUCUCUUUUUGAACACAUUUUAUCAGCAUGAAUAAGAAUGAGUAGCUUGUUCUCGAUGUCAUGACUUUAAUGAAAAAGUACUCUUUGCAUUUUGAGAGCAUUGUUUAUUGUUCCAAAUUGCUUGUUUGCUUGAUUAGAAAGGACUUCUAUAGACACGUAACGUAGGCCGUGGUUCUUGGCUUUGAAAGAAAAGGAUUCAUAAGGCUCAAAAAGUGUUUCAGGGUUUCAAAGACUGAGGAUCACUAUCAGUAGUUUGACUCUUUGUGUCUUUCAUCUUUCUUUUUUUGCCGUUCUAUUUGAUUUCCCUUUUUCUUUUUUCAUUGCUUUGCUAGGGCAGACUCACUUUAUCUUGGUUAUAACUCUUUCUUGUGAUUUAGGCAUACCCCCUAGCAUUUGAGUUGUUUGGGCUCUUUUGCCUCUUUGGCUUUCUCACGACUUUUUCUGCUUUUUUGAUCAUUGAAAUUUUCACUUGCCCCCAGUGUGGGGGUGUGAUCCUAGUCGAGAUUUUUAUGAAAGAAAAUUUAUUCAGGCUCAAAAUGGGAUAUAUAUAUUUUUUAGAAUGUGAAAGGAAUAACAAAGAUGGUCUUUCCUCAUUCUAAGCACAAGCAGUUAAGAUCAAUAAACUUUGACCUCGUUCAAUAUGAUAGUUUAGACUUUUGUAAAGAAAUACAUUUCAUGAGUCCAUGAGCAACGGGUUCACUACAUAUCGUUAUGCAUACAUUUAAAAUACCUAGUUCAAGAGUCAUGGUGUGAGGGUGACGGUUCAUUUUCUAUUCAUGCCUUGGUUUAGAGUUUAGUCACCUCAAUGAAGGAGUUGCUUGAUUCAUGUGUCAUUCUACUAGUAGAAUGUCAAAAAUAUCAUUUUAAAUAAACAUCAAAUCAUUUUUUGAAAUCAAAAUGCAAGUUCAAUUUUUCAAAAUUCCACUAGGGGAAAAGAUUUUGGUAAAAGAAAUGAAUCGCAUCUAUAAGAUCACGUGAGGCUUCAAAAGUGUAUUUGUGAGUUCUUUAGGGGGAAACCCCUUUCAGGAUAUUUGGCUAUAAAUCAAAGGAAGAGACGCAAUUAAAGGACAAACUCAUUAUUUCAUUGAAAUUCUAGAAAAAAAGGCUUAACACAAAGACCUUAUACUAACAUCUUGAGUUACGAGGAAGGUGACAUAUAAAAGGGCUAAACACUUAGCAUUUAUUGAUUGGAAUUUCUAGAAUCUUCCAAUUGUCCCUCUCCCAUGAAUUCCUCGACAGGGGCACCUUUCUAAUAGUCCGUUGAGGUUACGCAUAAACCAGUCUUAGCCUAAUGACAUUAUGGCUUCAUCUUCAGGACGAUUGAUCUCUAGGUGUCUUUGUUUUGGUAGUUCUUUCUCUCGCCUUUGUAACCACUUUUAAUUUUGUGAAGCUCGGUUUCUUUCCUUUUUCCAGUGAAACUUUUCUCCUCAUUCGAGUCAACAAUCCUUUCCAAACGGAUGGCUUGUUCAAUCCUCUCAGCUAUAUCAACCAAGUCAGAAAAACGUUGUGCAAAGCUUCCCACCAGGUAUUCAAAGUAUGGUGCUUUGAAAGUGUUGCAGAAUAAACUUAUCAUCUCUUUCUCCAAUAGUGGGGGAUUAACCUGUGUAGCUGUCUCACGCCAUCUUUGGGCGUGUUCCCUCAUGCACUCUUUAUUGCCCUUUUCCAUGGCUUGUAAGCUUGACCUAUCAGGAGCCACAUCCAUGUUUAAUUUGUAUUGCCUAACAAAGGCAUCGACUAGGUCCUUCCAUCCUUUCACCUUGGUGUUGUCCAGACGCAUGUACCAGUUGAGAGCGUCAUCACUUAAACUGUCUUAGAAGAAGUGGAUCAACAACUUCUCGUCAUGUACUACUUCAACCAUCUUAUUGCAGCAUGCCUUAAGGUGGAUUAUCGGGCAUUGAGUUCUAAUGUACUUAAUGAAUUCUAGCACCCUAAACUUCUUAGGAAUGACAACGUUAGGUACCAAACACAAAAUGUUUCCCUCAACUACCAUCAUACAAAUUGUUUCCCUCAGCUGCCAUCAUCCUCUGUUCUAGGGCAACCCAUUUUUCCAGACCCCUAUCUUCUACCAUUUUGUCCUUGUGAGACUCCUCUAAGGUUAGCUCAGGGAUCCUUAUUGGAUAUACAAGCUGAGCUGGGAAAUGCACAGCGUAUUGGGGCUCAAGUGAGGUUAUACAUGCCCCCAAGUUUGGCGGAUUGAAAGGAGCUGUAAACGUUGGCGGAAGCUGGGCUAUAAAUGUUGGUUGGGAGGAUGUCUCUUCUCCCGACUUGGAUCUCAGAGCCUGCUCAAGUAGGCUAGUAAGUCUAGCAACAUCUUCUUUCAAACUGUCCAACUCCUUUUGAUGUUGGGCAUCCAGUUGAGCUUUUUCUUUGUUUUCCAAUUUUUUUCGCAACCGCGUGUUAUAAGAGUGUGUUUUAAUGGGGGGCUAUAUUUUACCAGUUUGUGCAAUAUUAUGACAAUUCAUAAGUGUAUGUUCAACAUGCAUGAGUAUGAAAUACAACAUAUUGGGUAUGGAUUUGCUCUUCAAGGGGUGACAUAACGAUCGUUAUUCUCUGGAUGUGUGGUCAAAUCCGAAUCCAAUAUCAUUAUUGCAAUGCGGAGAGUAUAUCUGCUUAGCCUUUUGUCAUCUGAGCUUUCAGCGAUAUAUGCUUGGUGUCUUUUAUUAUGCAUAUAAUGUCUUUAAGUAGCGGUAUCUCACUAACAUCCAAUUUAGGGCAGUCUCCCUCGGUCAUUUGCAAGGAUUCAGACUCGAGUCCAUACUCAAUAGUUGUUAUCUUAGGAAUAACAACCAUUAUGUCACUCGAAAGCCCUGUAAUAAGGAUGCUUACAUGUUUAAGCUUAUCUUAGUGAAAUUACAUAGGGAUCAACCUAAAUGGUAGGUUCUAGUCAUUAAAUGGAUUAAGGUAAUUUUGUUAUCUAGUCUCAAAGGUCUUCUGCAUGCUCAAUGAUCGUCCUCAAAAGGUUGAUAUGAGGUUUACAAGCAGCGUGAAGAUAAAGGUCUUGAGUAAUAUCAGUUCGGCAUAUCGACCACUAUCGAGCAAACAAUCGUGCGAGAGUUGGAUAGUUUAGCGAGCCUGACCCAGGCUAAAGCCAUUGAGGUGUCGUUACUCCUCCACUUAUCUUAAAGUUGAUACCAUACGUAAAAAAUGAGAUGAGUGAUGUGUGAAGGCCUUAGAUCCAUAUCCAAUGUAUAUGCAUGAUAAGCAUAAAUAACUAUGCAUGCUAAAACAGUAAAAAGAGAAAAACAAAAAAAAACUUGAUAAACACAACAUAGCAACAAUAAAGAAAAAAAAUAGUACGACAAAUAUUGUUUAGCAAUAAAAAAGAAAAAAACAAAGCUUAGUCAUAAUUUCCCAAGUGGAGUUGCCAUUCUGUCACACCUGGACAUCAUGGUGACCGAUCAAAAAUAUUUUCUCAUGGAAAAAAAAAAGAACAGAUAUCUGACAUCUUGUUCUUUGGGAGAAAAGGGUCUAGUUUAAGGAGUCGCCACCUGGUAUUAUGGUCACUAGAAACCCUAACUGGUCAACAUAGAUUCUUUGGUACGGACUGGUUACGCGAAAGAGAAGAUAUUAUCACCCCUUAAGCAUCCUACCUAAGUUAGGCUGCAUUGCGGGUUUUGUCUUAAAUUGCUAAAGGUUUGUUUUUUUUCUGUUCUUAUGGUCUUCCUAUAAUAUUCCUAACUUUGGCGUUAGUGAAUAUUCACCUAUGAAUAUUUUUCCAACUCUAGCGAUUGAUAAAUAUUGUGCAACCCAAAAAGUACGAUAUUCCUAACUUUGACGUCAGUAAAUAAAUCCACAAAAUUUUGAAUUAAAAAAAACAAAAACUAUUUUUUUAAUCAUUUUUUUUGUUAUUUAUGUAGCCCGGUCUCAAAACUUAAAACAAAAAAGGGUCGGGUCACUGGUCCAAAUCAAUGACCCGGCUAGCCACUGUUGCACGCAUGCGUGAAUGUUUCAUGCAUACAUGCAUGCAACAGUAACCAGUUAAUUAUUUUAGCAAGCAAGGAAGGAAACUUACCUGGGUGUGCUGUUGCUGGAGGCGAAGUCGAGGGAGACGGCUGGGCGCUGCUCAUGGUUGUCAGUCCAACCUGCUGCUCACAGUGGAGUUGGGGUGCUAUCGCGAAGGAGAUCUUCCAAAUUGUUGUUGCACUAGAAAAUGAAGAUGACGGUGAUGGAGGGCUGCAAAAUAAAAGAAUAAAGUGAGAGUUGUGUGGAAGAAGAAUUACAUAAUGGUAUUUUAUUACUUGAUUAAAUACUGUUACAUCAUGGUCCUAUAUAUAUUACAAUUCUUUGGUUAAAAAAUGCUAUAAUUAAGGAUGCAAUGAAUGAUAAGAUAUACACUUAAUUCCUAGAAUAUCUGUUGCAGAUAUGAUCACAAUUAUCUUCAGUAUUAGUAAUCUCUUGUGCAAAUAUGAUAUUAUCUUCAGUAUCAAUAAUCACUAAUCAUGAUUAUCUUUAGUAUCAGUAAUCUCUUGUGUAGAUAUGAUCACUGAUCACGAUUAUCUUCAGUAUCGGUGAUCCCUGAUCAUGAUAGGAAUCCCUGAUCAUGAUUAUCUUCAGUAUCAAUAUUAUCUUCAGUACAUUUGAUAAUAUCUUCAACACGCCCCCACAAUCUGAACGGGAAGCGAGGGCUCAAAGGCGCGCUCGACAUGAAGUGAGGGCUCAAAGGCGCGCUCGAAAGGAAGCGAGGGCUCAAAGGCGCACUUGAAAAGAAAAUGAGGGAUCAAAGGCGCGCUCGAAAAGAAAAUGAGGGCUCGAAGGCGCACUUAAAAAGAAGGGAGGGCUCAAAGGCACACUCGAAAAGAAGCGAGGGCUCAAAGGCGCACUCGACAUGAAGCGAGGGCUCAAAGGCGCACUCAAAAGGAAGCGAGGGCUCAAAGGUGCACUCGAAAAGAAUCAAGGGCUCGAAGGCGCGCUCGAAAGGAGGUAGGGUUAGGAAAUGCACUACCUUGGAUGGUCGAGGGCUCGAAGGCGCCCUCGAAAGGGGGUAGGAUUAGAAAACGCACUACCUUCAAAGAUCAAGGGCUCGAAGGCGCGUUCGAAAGGGGAUAAGGUUAGGAAACACACUACCUUAAAUGGUCGAGGGCUCGAAGGCGCACUCGAAAGGAGGUAGGGUUAGGAAACGCACUACCUUGGAUGGUCGGGGCUCGAAGGCACGCUCGAAAAGGAGGUAGGGUUAGGAAACACACUACCUUCGAUGGUUGAGGACUCGAAGGCGCGCUCGAAAGGGGGUAGGGUUAGGAAACACACUACCUUUGAUGGUUAAGGGCUCGAAGGCGCACUCAAAAAGAAGCGAGGGCUCAAAGGCACGCUGGAAAAGAAGCGAGGGCUCAAAAGCGCGCUCGAAAAGAGGUAGGGUUAGGAAACACACUACCUUGGAUGGUUGAGGGCUCGAAGGCACGCUCGAAAGGAGGUAGGGUUAGGAAACGCACUACCUUGGAUGGUUGAGGGCUCGAAGGCGCGCUCGAAAGGAGGUAGGGUUAGGAAACGCACUACCUUUGAUGGUUGAGGGCUCGAAGUCACACUCGAAAAGAAACGAGGGCUCAAAGGCGCGCUCGAAGAAUGUGAGGGCUCGAAGGCGCACUCAAAAGGAGGUAGGGUUAGGAAAUGCACUACCUUAGGGAUGAGAAAUGAAAGGUGGUGGAAAAAUACAAAGAUUAUUUUUUCUAUGGCCUGAUUCUCAUAGGCGGCCUGCCCAGGUUAAAAUUUCUCAAAUGUGAAAAAUUUCCAAAAGCAAUUUCAAACUUGGCCAUUUCAAGGUGGCCUUCCAUUUGAUGGAUCUCGUUAGAGAUUUAUCUUGCUAAGUUUGCAAAACUUGUUGUCCAAUGUCUCAAAGUUUAGAUGAUAUGCAUGCAUCUUUACCUGAUUUGAAAUAUAGGCCCCCAUUUCUUCUUAAUCUUCUUGUUUGCUUGAUUGAUGAGGACUUGCUAUCUCUGAUUUGGGUCAUCUUCGUCGUUUAUCUUCUAGCCUACUGGAGUUGGCCCAUGUAAGUCUGUUCCCAGAUUUGUUUACACAGCUUAGCCUUUAUGGUGUCCAUCGUGACCCACUUGCUUGCUAGAGAUAUUUCAUCUCGUCAAAUAAUUUGAGAGGAUCAUUCAUUAAUCCCCGUCUCACUUUUAAAAACAUUCCUUAACACUUGCUGAAAGGAUCAAGCUGUCUUUUAUAAACCAAGAUGCCCCCUUGUUUUGUUGUAGGAAAUGUUCAUCUCUUUUUCUAGAAGGGAUUGAUUUUUCCUUCUAAACAUAACGUUGCCCCCUUGUACUGGUCAUUGCCUCUAAGUAUGUUCUGUCAACGACUCAGACAAAUAAUGGUUUUAAGUGAUCAUUCUCUCAUUUCUCUCCUUUUCAGUUUGGUGAAAGAAUAUAUGUUCAAAAUGAAUCUUGAAAUCUUGAUCUCGCAUUUUGAAAACAAAAAUUCUUUUGAUGUAAGUUUGAAACAAUUUGCUCUUGAAUUCUUGCACCUCAGUUUUUUUCCUUGGAAAAGAGAUAUUUGCUCUUGUGUUUGGCGAUAUUGUCUUUAGUGAAAGUAUGUCAUGAGGUGACUUUCUAUUUUUAUGGGUUUCAAAGUGAAAGGCUCGAGAAAAAGCUCGAGGUUUUAUUUGAGAAAAAAUUUCUCUUUUUGAACCCUUUUUUUAUCAGCAUGAAUAUUAAUAAAUAGCUUGUUCUCGAUGUCAUGACUCCUAUGAAAAAGUACUCUUUGCAAUUUGAGAGCAUUGUUUAUUGUUCCAGGUUGCUUGCUUGCUUGAUUAGAAAGGACUUCUACAGGUACGUAAUGUAGGCUAUGGUUUUUGGCUAUGAAAGAAAAAGAUUCAUAAGGCUCAAAGAGUGUUUCAGGGUUUCAAAGACUGAGGAUCACUAUCAGCAGUUCGACUCUUUAUGUCUUUCAUCUUUUCUUUUGCCGCUUGUUUUGAUUUGCCCUUUUUUUUUCAUUGCUUUUUUAGGGCCUACUCACUUUAUCUUGGUUAUCACUUUUUCUUGUGAUUUGGGCAUGCCCCCUAACAUUUGAGUUUCUUGGGCUUUUUUGCCUUUUCAGCUUUCUCACGGCUUUUACAUCUUUUCUUAUUGAAAUUUUCACUUGCCCCAAGUGUGGAGUGUGAUCCUAGUUGGGAUUUUUCAUGAAAGAAACAUUAUUCAGGCUCAAAAAAGAACAGCAAAGGAUAUACUCUUUUAGAAUGUGAAAGGAAUAACAAAGAUGGCUUUUCCUCAUUUUAAGCGCAAGCAUUUAAGAUCAAUAAACUUUGACCUUGUCCAGUGUGAUGAUUUGGAAUUUUGCAAAGAAAUGUAUUUCAUGAGUCUAUGAACAACAAGUCCACUACAUACCAUUAUGUAUACAUUUAAAGCACAUGGCUCAAGGGUCAUGGUGUGAGGGUGAAAGUUCAUUUUUUAUUUGUGCACUUUGCUUGAUUCAUGUGUCAUUCUACAAGUACAUGUCAAAAAUAUUGUUUUAAAUAAACAUCAAAUUAUUUUUGAAAUCAAAAUGCAAGUUUAAUUUUCAAAAUUCCAAUGGGGAAACUGAUUUUGGUAAAAGAGAUGAAUUGAGUCUAUAAGAUCACGCGAGGCUUCAAAAGUGUAUUUGUGAGUUCUUAGAGGGAACCCCUUUUAGGAUAUUUUGGUUGCAAAUCAAAGGAAGAGACACAAUUGAAGGACAAACUCAUUAUUUCAUUGAAAUCCUAAAAAGCAACAAAGACCUUAUACUAGCAAGGUGACACAUAAAAAGGCUAAACACUUAGCAAUCAUCGAUUGGAAUUUUUGGAAUCUUCCAACCGUCCCUCUCCUAUGAAUUCUUCGACAAGGGGCACCUUUCCAAUAGUCAGUUAAGGUCUCACAUAGACCAAUCUUGGCCUAGUGACACUGUAGCUUCAUCUUCAGGAUGAGUGAUCUCUAGAUGUCUUUGUUUUGGUAGCUCUUUCUCUCGCCUUUGUAAUCACCUUCGAUAUUUGUGAACCUCAGUUUCUUCCCUUUCUCAAGUGAAACUUUUCUCCUAAGUCGAGUCAGCAAUAUUUCCUAAAUGGAUGGCUUGUUCAAUCCUCUCAGCUAUAGCAACCAAGUCAGAAAAAUAUUGUGCAUAGCUUCUCACAAGGUAUUCAAAGUAUGGUGUUUUGAAAGUGUUGACAAACAAAUUGAUCAUCUCCUUUUUCGAUAAAGGAGGAUCAACCCAUGUGGCUGUCUCACGCCACCUUUGAGUGUAUUCUCUUAUGGACUCCUUGUUGUCCUUUUCCAUAGCUUGCAAGCUUGACCUAUCAGGGCCUACAUCCAUAUUGAACUUAUAUUGCCUAAUGAAGGCAUCAACUAAGUCCUUCCACUUUUUUUUAUCUUGGUAUUGUCCAACUGUAUAUACCCAGUAAGGGCAACAUCACUCAAACUAUCUUGAAAGAAGUGAAUCAAAAGUUUCUCGUCAUAGACCACCUCAACCAUUUUGUUGCAGUAUGCCUUUAGAUGAGUUACAGGCAUUGCGUUCCUGUAUAUUUGAUGAAUUCUGGUACCCUAAACUUAUUUAGGAAUGACUACGUUAGGUACCAAACACAUCUCGAUGGUUUUCACUGGGUCAUACAAAUGGUUUCCCUUAACUAGGGGUGAGCAAAAAAACCGAUUAAACCGAGAAAACCAGAAAAAAAAUAACCAAAAAAACUGAACCGUGAAAAAAAACCGAUUAAAAUUUUGACAAAAUCAACCGGUUCAGUUCGGUUUCGGUUUCAUAAGCCUGAAACCAAAAAAACCAAACAGAAACGAAUCCAAACUAAGAUCAGAAAAAAACCGAGCCAAAACUGAGUCAAACUGAAAAACCGAGCCAAACCAGUUUGAACCGGUUUUUGGCCUAAAGAACAGAACCGAAACCAGUCGGUUUGAGCCGGUUUCGGUUUUUUUUUUUUAUAAAUAUUUUGGAUUGGUUACUUUUUUUAUAAAAACCAAAUCGAACUGAAAAUGAUCACCCCUACCCUCACCCUCUCUUCUAGGGCAAUCCAUUUUUCCAGACCCUCAUCUCUGACCAUUUUGUCAUUGUGAGACUCUGCAAAGGUUGGUUUAAUAGCAUGAGGGAUCCUUAUUGGGUAUACAAGCUAAGCUAGGAAAUGUGCAGCGUAUUGGGGCUCAAGCUAGGUUCUACUUGUGGAUUGGAGAGAGCUGCAGGCGUCGACGGAAUAUGGGUUGUAAAUGUUGGUUGGGAGGAUGUCCCUUCUCCCGACUUGGAUCUCAGAGCUUGCUUGUAACAACCCCAAUUUCCAACAUCCUUUUUCGCGAUACAUUGAAAAUUUUCAAGUAAUUUUUUUUUUGAUAUACCGGUUACACCAAAUUUCUACCAAAAUUUCGGCAGAGUCUCCCCUAUACUAGGAGGUCCCAAGUUAUCGACAAAAUCAUAUUACACUUCCAAUUUUAAUUCACAUCCUGAUCCAAUGAUCCCAAUUCUCUUGGGUCCUGCGUCGAGUCAGUCCCAAUUCUCUCGGGUCCCGCGUCGAGUCCCAAUUUGUAUUAUAAAUAUUGUUAUUUUUAUUAUAAUUAAAAGUAUUAAUAUAAAAAAUAUUAUUAUUUUUAUUAUAAUUAAAACUAUUAGGGUCUUAGGUUUCUAAAUAUUAUUAUAAAUAUUAUUAUUUUUAUUAUAAUUAAAACUAUUAAUAUUAAAAAUAGUAUUAUUUGUGUUAUAAAUAUUAUUAUUUUUAUUAUAAUUAAUAUUAUUAAUAAAAUAAUUAAUAAAUUUGAAAAAAAUUAUUAUCAAUAUUGAAAAACAACCAUAGAUUUGAUUUGAAUGGUAAAAUUAAAAAUUAUUAUUGUUAUUGUUAUUAUUAAUAAAUUUAAAAAAUACUAUUAUUACUAUUGAAGAAAACCCAUAAUUGUUUUUAAAAGAUUAAAAAAUAUAAGAAUUUGGACAAACAAGUGAAAUAUUAUUAUUUAUAUUAUAAAUAUUAUUAUUAGAUCUAGCAUUGCAGUCAGACUCAAUACUUUUGAAUCUUAGAUUUUUUUAACAUGUUUUAUGAAAAUAAAAAAUUGACUCGUGAUGAAGCGCAGCACACCUAACUUGUGCAAGCUAGAGAUUGUGUUGUUAUCAUCUGCAUAAUCUUAAUCUUAUAGGAUAUGCUAGUUUUUAAAACUUAUGUUUUGGAACGUUCUCUUUGAAAAAACUCCAAGUUGUGCUGCUUAAUUAUUUGUUGUCAACUUUGUUAAGAAAUAUAUGGUCUUUCAAAGAGAAUAUAUCUUAUUUAAUGUUAUUGUUUUUAGUUUUCUUUUACACUUCAACUACUUGAAAUAGAAUAGUGUAAUUAUAACAACUCCUUCGUNNNNNNNNNNNNNNNNNNNNNNNNNNNNNNNNNNNNNNNNNNNNNNNNNNNNNNNNNNNNNNNNNNNNNNNNNNNNNNNNNNNNNNNNNNNNNNNNNNNNNNNNNNNNCAUUUUUCCUGCUAGUGCUGCUCAUCAUCAUCAUAUCAUCAUGAAGGAACAAACUUGAAGGAUAAAGUUACUACAAAGCUUUUCUCUAUCAUUGGAAUGUUUUGUUUGUCAUAUAAGCUUCGCAUGUCUUUUGCAGUUUAGAUUUGAAAACUUCAUAACAUAUUUAUAUACACUAUAACUUUUUUAGAAGUGUUUGGAUGAAAGUUUUGAAUUAGUGAAGUAUCCAAUGUUAUUUACUGAACACACUAUACUUGUUACUUCUGCAAUGGUCUGAAAUAUUGGUGCCAGACAAAUUUCAAAGAUUAGCUUGGAGACUAAUCUCGAGUAGUAUUUACUACUUGGAGUAUUUGGUUAUUGAAGAACAAAAUUGUUUUUGAGGAGGGAACUAUAAGCUUGUUUGAUUGUUUCUCCAUUAUCCUUUAUCGGGUUACUAUUUAGUUGCAUAUUCUGGAUUCAAACUUCACUUAUACAGGAAAUGAUCUUUUAAGAUCUUAUGAUGACAUCAAAUUAUGAUGUAAUAAUAAAUCUUAGGUAAUUCUUUUGUUUUUGUUGUAGUAGAUUAAUUUUAUUAUUUUCCUAAAUUUGUUCCUUUUUUUUUGUUAUGUUUCUAUAUUUUAUCUUGGAUGUUAACACCUUUUUAAUAUACUCUGGAUAAUUAUAUAUAAAAAAAACAAUUCAUAUUUCCUGCACCAUUAACAUCAUCCAGGUAUGAUGCUCGUUUCAAAGCCUCUUAACGGCAAUAAUUACCUGACACAGAGCUAGUAGGGCCAUGAUGAUUUCUUUGAAUGCCAAAUCCAAGCUAGGUUUUAAGAUGGAACCACUACCAUGCUGUUUAAAACAAACAAGCCAGAUGAGUAUGCUUCAUGGAAAAAGUGCAAUGAUAUGAUUCUCUCUUGGAUUCUUAAUUCGCUCACAUAAGACAUUGCGGACAAUGUCAUUUUUUCAGCCACAUCACAAGUGGUAUGGGAAGACUCUCGGGAUCAUUUUUCACAAAGCAAUGCUCCUUAUCAUUUUUCAGAUUGAACGAGAUAUUUCUUAUCUUACUCAAGAUCAGAUGACUGUUGCGGUUUACUACACAAAACUUAAAGGAUCCUAUAAUAAUACCAUUUGUUCUUGUGGGGCAGACCAUAGAAGACACCGACUGAUGCAGUUCCUCAUGGGACUCAAUGACACCUAUAGUGCCAUUCAGGGUCAGAUUAUGUUGAUGAACCCAUUACCUGACGCUGCUAAGGCCUAUGCUUCUGUUAUGCAGGAAGAGAAGCAGCGUAGCCUGAGGAGUAUUCAUGAAAUAUUAGAUAAUUCUGCCAUGGCUGUGCGGAAGGCAGAAUCAGUGGCCCUGGCUGCUAGACGUGGACAAUGUGCUCAUUCUCGUUCUUUAUCUGCUAACCCUUGCAUUGCUCUUACUAUGAUUGUGGUCAUCAUAUGCGAGAAACCUGUUGGAAACUGAAUGGAUAUUCACCAUAACACCCUAAAAAUCCAUCCAACAAGUUUGCUCCAGGCAGGCUCAGUUCAAGCGCAAUAAUGGCACUCAGUUUUCUACUAACAAUGUUAAAAAGGGUUAGCUCAUGCAUGAGGCAUCUUCAGUUAUGACUGGAUUUUCAGAUUUGCAUAUUCAGCAAAUACUAUCCAUCAUACAGGGGAAGGGCACAAUACAACCUAACAAUGCUAUGACCACUCCAAAAGCUAACGCAGCUGACACCUCUACAGGUUUGUUACCAACAACAUCCAUGCUCCACCAGCUGAUUAUAGCUGAUUAUUGAUAGUGAAGCGACAGACCAUAUUAUUUCCUCUCCAAAUUUGCUUAUCAACAACAGCAACAAUGGAGCUUUACCAUCAGUCACAUACCAAGUGGAGAACAAGCCUCUAUUACUUCCAUUGACUCUUUACCUUUGAAUUUUGCAAUUGUUUUAAAAAAUAAUUGUAGUGCAUCUUUUUUAAGGUAGACUUAAUAUCUGUUAGCAUAUUUAUCAAAAAAUUGAAUUGCUCAGUAAUUUUUUUUUAUUGGUGUAUUUUACAGGACUUGAUGAUGAAGAUGAAGAUUGGUUCGGAUAAACAACAAGAUGGUCUUUAUUACUUGGUUUCUUUGAUAUCAAACAAACAAUGACAUCCAUCAGUAGUAACAACCACUUCUUACUGUCCUUCCAACUCUCAAGUCUCCUUUUCUACAACUUUAUGGUAUUAUUGUGUAAGGUAUUUGUCCUCCUCUAGAUUAGGCUUUAUGGUAUUAUUUAACCAGUUCAAAAAUGCUUGUGAUGUUUGUUCACUUGCAAACCAAAGUCAACUUUCAUUAUCUAUUAGUUCAAUUUCGUUUAUUAGACUUUUUAAAUUAAUUUAUUGUGAUAUUUGGGCCUUAUAAGAUUGCUUUCUAGUUCAAAAUAAUANNNNNNNNNNNNNNNNNNNNNNNNNNNNNNNNNNNNNNNNNNNNNNNNNNNNNNNNNNNNNNNNNNNNNNNNNNNNNNNNNNNNNNNNNNNNNNNNNNNNUCCUCAUUUUUCCAAACACAACUCCAUAUUUCUAUAGCCAAUAUCCAGGUUGAUAAUCUAUAUGUGUUUUUUUUAAACACAGGGACCACUUAUCAACAUUCUUGUAUUUAAACUCCUAAACAAAAUAGGGUUGAGAGCACAAACAUCAUUAUAUUCUUGAGUCUACACAAGCCCUUCAUUUUCAAGCUCAUCUCCCUUUACAUUUCUAGGUAGAUUGUGUUUGUACAACUGUUCAUUUAAUUAAUCGUUUUUCCAUAUCACUUCUUAGCAACAAAACUCCUUUUGAACGCCUUUAUAACCAACCACCCUCGCACCAUCAUCUUGGAGUUUUUGGGUGUCUUGCAUAUGCUACUAAUAUGUGUUAGAGAAUAAUAUAAAUCAUAUCCUAAGACCUCAUCUAACAGCAUAAGUUUUUGGGUUGAGAUAGUUCUUUGACAUGGCAUCAGAGCCUUGAUGACUAAGCGGUCACGAGACAUGGUAUCAGAGCCUUGAUGACUAAGCAGUCACGAGUUUGAAUCUCAUCAUCCUCUAUUUAUUUGAUAAAAAUUAAGCACAAAGUAAUAUGGGCCUGUGCAAGUUUCAAGCCCAAAGGGCUUUCACUUGAGAGGGUGUGUUGGAGAAUAAUAUAAAUCAUAUCCUAGGAACUCACCUAAACAGCUUAAGCUAUUGGAUUGAGAUGGUUUUUUGACAAUAUGCAUGUUACCCAUAAACUUGCUCCUCGUGUUAAACGUUGUGUUUUUCUCGGUUAUCUGGCUGGUUAGAAAGCUUACAAGCUUCACUACAAGAUUUAAUAGUUUUACCGACGUAAUUUUUCCGUCGGCGUAAGACACAUAUUCCGUCGGUAAUUAAUUUAUCAACGAAAUCACCGACGGAAAUGCUUCGUCGGUGAAUCUUUCAUCGGUAAUUUUUUAUCCAUUGGUAAUAAAAAAAUAUUAUUACUGACGGAACAAACGCGUCGGUAAUAACAUUUUUUUUAUUACCAACGGAUUUACCGACGGAAUUUCCGUUAGUAAAUCCUUCGGUAAUUAUUUAAAAACAUUUUUAAAAAAAUUCAUUUUAUAAAAUUAUAAAAUAAUUAAAUUAACAUAAAUCAACACUCUAUAAUAUAUACUCAAAAUGCUUGGAAAAAAGAAUAAGAAAAUCAACUCAAACAAAUUUGCAACAAAUAAAUAAAAUGAAAAAAUAAAUUCAACUAAAAAAAUUCAUAUGAAAAAAAUGAAGUUGCAAUUGCUAAAAAUUUAAAAAUCCUAUAAAUAAAUCAACUAAAAAUUGAUCUCAUAUGAAAAAAAAAAUCUCACAACAACAUUUAUACAAUUAUUAAGAACAAAAACAAUUAAAAAUAAAAUAAAAUCAUGAAAAAAGAAGAAAAAAGAAAAAUCUUACCUUAAUGUAGUUGUAAGUGAAGCUAAGGAGAGAAAAAAAUUUUCGUAAAGCAUAUUUAUUAAAAAAAAACUAAGAGGAUAAAAGAAGAAAGAAGAAGAAGACAUACUCGAGCAUGAAGAAAAAGAGAAGGAGAUGAGGAGAGAAAAGAAGAGAAAGAAAUAGAUAUUGAUGUUUUUUACAUAUAGUGAAUAAUAAUAAUAAUAAUAAUAAUAAGAAAUGAAUCUGUCUCUUGUGAAAUAAGGGGAUUCAGACUUUUUACAUAAGCCAGAUGAGUAUGCUUCAUGGAAAAAGUGCAAAGAUAUGAUUCUCUCUCUUGGAUUCUUAAUUCGCUCACAUAAGACAUUGCAGACAAUGUCAUUUUUUCAGCCACAUCACAAGUGGUAUGGGAAGACUCUCGGGAUCAUUUUUCACAAAGCAAUGCUCCUUGUCAUUUUUCAGAUUGAACGAGAUAUUUCUUAUCUUACUCAAGAUCAGAUGACUGUUGCGGUUUACUACACAAAACUUAAAAAAAUUAUAGGAUGAAUUGGGAUCCUAUAAUAAUACCAUUUGUUCUUAUGGGGUAGACCAUAGAAGACACCGAUUGAUGCAGCUCCUCAUGGGACUCAAUGACACCUAUAGUGCCAUUCAGUGGCGGAGCCAGGAUUUUUUAAAUGAGGGGACAAAUUACUAACAAAUAUUUGAUAUUAUAUGUUAUACAUACAUGUGUUAUAUAUAGAAAUUAAUUUGAAAUAUAUAUACCAGCUAAAGUUAAGCAAAAUUAAUUUAAAAAUACUUUUAAAAUGAAGAAACUUACAUUAUAAUUGUUAUCUUCGAGAUUUUAUAUUUUAAAACUGUUUCAUAAUGGUUUUAUUUUUAAUCUCAUUACAAAUAUCUUUCUCAAUAUAUACAACAAAUUUUCAUUUAUCUAUUUCUAAAUUUUUCAAGGAUUAGGAAAGUUCUUGACAACAAUUCUAUGCUGACAUAUGAUACAUAACAUCUAAAAUCAUAGCUUAAAAGGAUUGUUUAAAAUUGAUGUUGUUCUUGCUGGCUUGUUGUUUUGUACAAGUGGAUUAAACAUAAAUAUUAAAUGUUUUUUUAAUUUAUUUAUUAUGUCCUUAAUUUUUUUAGUUGUCAUGUACUUCAUUUUUAAUCAUUAGUAAAUUCAUUAUCAUCAUUUUUCAUAUGAAAUUCAUAACAAAAUACUUAUCAAUUCAUCAAAACUCAUUUCAAUUCAUAUCUAUUAGCAUAUAAUAUUACCCAUACACAUAUUAAUUCAACAAACCCAUAAAUUAUUAUAAACCUUGAUAUUUUUAAUAACUAAUUAUAAAGAAAUAAAACUAAAAUUAUAUAAUGAAACAAAUAGAAAAGUAACACAGCUUUAUAUUAGUCACUACAACAUUAUCCAGUUUUACCGACGGAAUCAUUCCGUCGGUGACAGCAAUGAAAUCUGUCGGUGAAAAUAAAACCGACGGACUCAUCGACGGAACACGUCCGUCGGUAUAACAGUCGUCGGUAAAUCCCAUUUCCGUCGCUAAUUCUGUCGCAAAUAAAAAAAACCAUCCACCGACGGUAAUACAGAAGGAUACGCGCGCGCCAAAAAAAAGUUUCCCGCGGGAACAUUACCGACGGAAUACAUCCGUCGGUAAUUUCAAGGGUAAUUACCGACGGCAUUACCGACGGAAAAUCCGUCGGUAAUUAUGGCAUGGCUUGUAAUUUUGUUGCAACUCUAUGUGUAAUACCGACGGUUAUUAUCCGUCGGUAAUGCCGUCGGCAUGUAAUCACCGACGGAUAAUAUCCGUCGGUGAUGCCGUUGGUAAAUAUGGCAUGGAUGGUAAUUGUUCGGCAACUCUCUGUUAAAUACCGACGGAUAGUAUCCGUCGGUACGUAUUUAAAAUAUAUAUAAAAAAUAAUUUAUUAAUUGUAAAAAACCUUAAUAAACAAAUAAAAAUGCAUUAAACAUUAAAAAUGUAAAAGUAAUAAUAUUCAUUACAAAUUUAAUGUGUUUAAAAAACAAAAUUAAACUAGAAUAGCGGCGGAGCUGGAGGAGGAGGCGGAGGAGGAGGAGGCUGGUUGUUCCCGGGACCAUACGGCCAAAAAGAAGCUGCACAAGUAUCGUCACCCAUCUUUGAUCUCAUCUCCAUGACAAUUUGACGGAGCUCAUCAUAAUUCGUCGAGAGUUGUUGAUAUUGUUGUUUCAACGCAAUGAACUCCUCAGACUGGGUGUUCGAUACUGAUGAAGAGCUUCCAACAGUUGAGACACUACGAGUCGAACGCAAGUUGUCAGCCGUAGUGUUGGAGAGCCCGUAGACCCUAUUUUUAUCGAGUCCACCAGACGAUCCCGCCUCCAUCCACAAAUCUGGAUCGAAAUCUGGAUGGGUCGACGGAUUGUCCCCAUAUCUCUCCCUCAACCGGCUAUUAUAGGUCUCCUGAAAAUUCCAUCGGUAAAAAAAUCAUCAAAUGCAAUUCAAGAUGCAAUUCAAGAAAAUAAUAACUUACAAAAUAAAAUGAAUGAACGAACAUACCACGAAGUGCUGAGCACGGUUGUCCACGAACUGCUGCACCCCCUUUUGGCGGUCUUAACUCCGCACAUGCGUCUCUAGAAACAGCUCCAUUGGACUCGGUUCACGUCCAAGAGACGCAGCCUGUAAGGAAAAAAUAGGUUGAAAGUUAAAUAUAUUAUAAGGAACGACAAAUUAAUUAACGAUAUAUUUCAUUAAAAUUAAUCUUACCAUCCGCUUUGCAUGUGCGCUGAAUGGGACGGAUCCGCCAGUGUGCGUGGUCACCGAACCAUGAAUUUGCCGGUUCCGGUUGUCGGCGCCGGACUGUGAGCGCCAUGAGAACCGCUCUGAGGCCACGUGCUCAAUAUAUGCCAUCCAUAUUUCCCCCGAGAUGAAUGGCGGUUUGAAUUCCUGCCAAACCGCCACCUCAUUCCAUCCUUCAAGACCGUUAUCCCUCGCAUGUCUUCUUGAUUUUUUUUUGGUGUCAUACCAAAAAUCACGCAACCUACUUCCAUAGUAACAAAUUAGAAUUUAAAACAUAAAAUUAUAAAACAAAAAUAAAUAUUAUUUUCGAUGUUACCUAGUUGCCGCGUGAUUCUCCCAUACCCUCCUCACAACAUUGUUGUCCGCCCUAUCCCACUCAAAUUUGUUCUGUGUAUAUAAAUAAUUCAUAUAAAAUAAAAAUAGUACAAGAUAUAAAAUUAUAAAAAUCAUUUAUUAAAAAUAAGCUGGAAAUUAAAAAUUAACACCGACCUGAAAUCGCUUAAACCAUGCAUCGAUAUUAGGUUUCCACUCAGGAUGUUUGGAAACCUGGCUCCAUUGAAACAAUGGAAUCUCCAUCGACGAUUUAAACGCCAAUGUUAUAGUCCUUGCAGCCUCAAUGUUUGUGAACCUGAAAUUAAAUAAAAGUAGUAAUUAAUAUUAAUUAGUUGUUCAUAAAUUAUGUUAUAAGUAUAUAAAAAAAAAACUAAAACCUAAACAAACUUACAUUGAGAAGUCAUCCUUCCAUUGUGCCUGGUACUUGCGGGUGAAUUGACCCCGCUGUGAAGGCACACCGCUUCUGCGCUGUGAAACCACGCUAGAAGAGGCAGCAUCACAAGUUGGCGUAGAUUCCUCGCCGUGAUCAGCACCUAAGGAUACGUCCUCCUCGCUGCUAGAAGAACUAGCUUCAACCGUCUUCUGACGACGUGCUGUAGAUUUCAUUCUACGCAUCUACACAAAUGUAUACGAAUAAUUACAUAAUUAACUUCGAUUAUUUAAAAAAAAAUUCGACAGAGUCUCCCCUGUACUGGGGGGUCCCAAGUUGUCGACAAAAUCAUAUUACACUUCCAAUUUUAUUUCACAUCCCGAUCCAAUCAUCCUGGAUCUCAACCCAACUCAUCAUCAUCAACACAACAUUUUAUUCAAUAACAUCAUAUAGAAUUACAACUAUGAACAUUCAUUGUUAAAUUGGUACUUAGAGUUACAAACAUUAGAUUAAAGUCAUACAUUCAAAUUUACGGAUUAAUAUUACAUUUUUAACAUAAAUUCAACAAUAACAAUUAUAGCAAUACAAACAAUAAUAUCCUAAAUUAAGAUAAACUAAUUAAAUGCAAUUCUAUAUAUAUAAAUUAACAUUUUUAAAAUAAAUCAACAAUAACAAUUAUAUUUAUAAACUAACAUUUUUAACAUAAAUUCAACAAUAACAAUUAUAGCAAUACAAACAAUAAUAUCAAAACUAAAAAACUAAAAUUAAUAAAUAAAAUUAAAAAACUAAAAAACACUACACAACACACAACAUAAACACAAAACAAACAAUACACAAAACAAAAAAACAUUAUAUCAAUUCAAAAUAAAUUUGGGAAUAAAAAAUGCUUACCUUAAUAAUGUGUUGAAUUUAAGAUUUUAUCUACAAACAAUAUACAAAACAAAGAACACCAAAAAAAAUAAUCAUAAUUAAAAUAAAAAAAAUACAAAGAUAAAGAAAAAAAAAUGCAUACCUUUUAAAACUACCACCAAAACAAUAAAAUCCUUCUAAAAGCUAAAUAUAAAUGAGAGAAGAAGAGAAAGGGAGAAGAGAAAGGGAGAAGAGGAGAAGAUGAGAGAAAGGGAGAAGAGGGAGAAGAGGAGAAGAGGAGAAGAGAAAGGGAGAAGAAGAGAAGAGGAGAAGAGAAGAAAGUGCGGGGGGGGGGUGGCGAUAUAUAAAGCAAUAUUUCCGACAGAAUUUCUGACGGAAAUUAAUUGUUGUCGGUGCAAUAAAUUUCCGUCGGUAAUUCCGUCGGAAAUUAAUUGAAAUGCGUACCAAAAAAGUUCGAAAGUCCCGCCAAACUUUUCGAUCCGUCGGCCAUUCCGUCGGUAAUAGUGCAGACGGACAUGUGUCAGACAUGCGUGAUCCGUCGGUAAUGCCGUCGGUAUAUUACGUCGGAAAUGCCGUCGGUAUUCGUGCAGACAGACACGUGUCAGACAUGCGUGGUCCGUCGGUAAUGCCAUCGGUAUUUGACGUCGGUAAUUCCGUCGGUAAUAGUGCAGACGGACACGUGUUAGACAUGCGUGCGACAACCCGUCGGUGAUUCCGUCGGUAUUAGCGUUGGAAACGCCGUUGGAAAUCCGUCGGUGAAUAUGGCAAAAUCCCGUAAUUUUUUUGCAACUCUCUGUGAAAUACCGACGGGUUAUAUUCCGUCAGUGAAAAGGUAAAUUUUUCUUAUUUUUUUUAUGUAACCCUCUUAAAAAAUCUUGAAUUGCAAUCUUACAGCACACACAACACAAUAACAAAGGCUGACCCUUAAAGAAGAAUAAAUAUUUCAUGUUUCAAAUUAUUACAUUAUAAAAAUAAGGCUUUAUAACAUGUUUAGUUAGUCGGAAUUUUCAUCUUCGUCCUCUAUUGAAUUGUUAUCAUCAGCUUCAUCGCACUCUUCAAUUUCGUUAUCAUCUUCUUCAACAACAUUUUUUUUUCCACUAGUAGAGCUAAGAACAACAUUCAACUCCUCUGCGUCAACAUCAACAAGAUUAUCGUUGAAAACACGAAAAUUCGAAUUUUCUUCUAAGUCAAUCGACGGAGCAACUCGGUAUGGUUCAACCAACUCACUAGCUUGAAAGACUUCAUAUAUCACACUUGUGUCUUCGUUCUCAUCCUGAAACACCUCGACACGAUCCUUGGGUUUUGUUUUUAAAACGGAUAACCAAUCAACUCUUGAUCGGUCCUUUCUAAAGGAAGGGGUGUAUGUGUAAUAAACUUGUUGGCAUUGCUUUGCGAAAACAAAGACGUCGUUUACGUUGCGGUGUCUAGCUUUUGAAUUGAUUUCAACGAGACCAUAGUGAGGAUCUACUCUGAUUCCUCUGUCAGUUGUGUCAUACCAAUAGCAUUUGAAUAAAAACACUCUAUUUUGCUCGCUAUGAUAUUGCAGUUCGAUGACCUCUUCCAAUCUACCAUAGUAGUCAACUUCAAACUCACUAGAAGUCGAUCCCUUAAUACAAACACCGCUGUUGUAUGUCUUUCUUCCAUGCCCGUAUUCUUCAGUAUGAAAGACAUAUCCAUUGACAAAAUAUCCAUUAUAGCACUUGACUUUUCUUUCAGGGCCCAGACAUAGUAAAGACAAUGAAAUAGCAGCACUACCUCCCAUUUGAUAAACCUAGCUUGUAAAUUAAAUACAACAAUAAUCAAUAAACGGAUAUUAUGUAACAUUGACUACAAUUAAUUACAUUGCAAGAGAUAAUGAGUUUGUGAUAGGACUUACAUGUGUUCUAAACCAUGUGGCAAAUUGUUCAUCUUGUAAUUGAAAGAUCUGGGAUUCGGUCAGCUGUGAGUUAUUGGACAGUAAGUAUCGUCGAUGUUGCCUGCAAGGUUGUUCCAAAUUAUAUGAGUGUAUGGUAUCACAAAACAUAAAUAGUACACUCUUGACAAAGUUUAAGUCGAACAUCUACUUACUUAAUAAAAGGUCUCAGCUCAUCACAGUUAAAUAGGACAUAAUUAUGUGCUUGUCUGAACUCUAUUUCAGACAAAUAUCUUCCCCUCACGGCAUUUUUAGGUGUGGGUCGUCCAGGAUUGGAGAAUAUUGACAAGUUCCCACUUGAAUGCACUUCACCACCAUCAUCAUGCCGUGGAACACGGUUUAUCCUCGUUCUCAAAUGAGGUUCGAAAUAGUAUGAGAUAAAUGUUGAGAUCUCCUCAACAAUAUACGCCUCACAUAUGCGCCUUGUUCUUAACCUUUUUUUUAAGAUUGAACAAGUACCUGCAUAUAUAUAUAUAUAUAUAUAUAUAUAUAUAUUAAUAAAAAAUUAUCAAUUAAAAACAUUAAAAUAAAAAUAAAAACAUUUAAUUAUAAAUGUCAUAGCAACUGUAAUAUCUAACCUCUCGAAUGGAUACAUCCAUCUGUACUGGACCGGUCCUCCAACUUUUACCUCAAACGGUAAAUGUACGGGUAGAUGCUCCAUUGAGUCAAAAAAUGAUGGAGGGAAUAUCAUCUCAAGUUUGCAUAUUGUCUCGACGAUAUUCUUUUCAAGCCUUUCAAUGUGAUCAACAUUCAACUUGCUAGAGCAUAUGUCUCUGAAGAAAUGACUAAUCUCCGUUAAUGCAUCCCAUAUCCCCUUUGGCAACAAAUCACAAAAAGCUAAUGGGAUGAGUGUUUGCAUAAACACAUGGCAGUCAUGACUCUUCAUUCCAUAUAAUCUGCAUUCCUCCGUAUUAACCAGCCUUGAUAUGUUCGAGGCAUGUCCAUCGGGGAAACGCAAACUCUUAAGCCAUUUGUAGACUAGUAGUUGUGUGUUUUUCUCUAGCACGAAGCUUGCUCUUGGUUUUGCGACCCGUGACCCAUCACAAACCAACUCCAUAUUUUUACGGUUACUGAACAACGCUACAUCCAAUCUAGCCUUGAUGUUGUCCUUUGUCUUCCCCUUCACAUCCAUGACGGUGUUGAAAAUGUUCUCAAACACGUUCUUUUCAAUGUGCAUGACGUCAAGGUUAUGGCGGAGAAGAUUGGUCUUCCAAUAAGGAAGCUCCCAAAAUAUACUUCGCUUCACCCAAUUAUGGGUAAAACCAAAACCAAGAAACUUUUGCUUACCUGAUUGGAGACCAAACACAAUUUCACCGUACUCUGACACAACAUCAAACAAUUCUUCACCGGAAAGACGCGGGGGUGCAACAUCAUUUUCAACUCUGCCAACAAAGAAAUCCUUUCUGUUCUUUCUGUACCUGUGGUUAUGUGGCAAGAAACGACGGUGACAGUCAAAAAAAGAAGCUUUACCCCCGUUUGUUAGCGUGAAUGCCUUGUUGUUCUCCAUACAAUAUGGACAUGCUAGCUUUCCAUGCGUGCUCCAACCAGAAACCAUUCCAUAAGCUGGGAAAUCAUUGAUAGUCCACAUCAAAGCCGCUCUCAUAACAAAAUUUUGUUUCCUCGAGAUGUCAUAAGUCAAAGCUCCAGAGGACCACAACUGCGUCAACUCAUCAAUCAACGGACGAAGACAAACAUCUAUAUUCCGCCCCGGACUGCUCGGACCUGGUAUGACCAUAGAUAAAAACAUGAACUCCGGCCUCAUACAUAUCCCCGGUGACAAGUUAUAAACUGUCAGUAUAACUAGCCAACAAGAAUAAGGAGCAGCAAAUGACCCGAAUGGGUUGAAUCCGUCUGUACACAACCCAAGACGCACGUUCCUUGAUUCAGCUGAAAAGGGAGGAUGCAUACUGUUAAAGUGUUUCCAGGCUUCACCGUCAGAAGGAUGAACCAUCACUCCAUCAACCGCAUGGUGUGAUUGGUGUCAUGUCAUGUGCUCAGCAGUCCUUGGUGACAUGAAUAACCUCUGCAGUCUAGGUGUGAUUGGGAAGUAUCUAAGUUUUUUAUAUGCCACGAGAGUCUUCCCUCUACCAGUUCUGGGUUUGUAACGGGAAUGCCCGCAUGUCAUGCACUCGGUCAUCUCAGCAUUUUCAAGGUAGUAUAACAUGCAGAAGUUAGGGCAUAUAUCAAUUUUCUGGUAUCCUAAACCGAGGGGUUUCAUCAUGGACUUGGCAGCAUAGAAGUUCUCUUUCAGCCUGUUCCCUUCAGGUAAAAUGCUUCUCGCCCAUUCAAUAAUCUUGUCAUAACCGGCCUCACUCAACCCGUGAUCUGACUUGAUGGUGAACACCUGUGCUACGGCUGAUAAUUUACUGUGGUUCGUGCAGCCAUCCCAUCAUGGUUCGUCAGAAUCUCUCAACAGAUCAAAAAACCUUGCUGCAUCUGCAUUAGGUUCUUCUUCUACGAUUGGACAUUCCCUGACAUUAUCUUCACUCAUUCUCAUUGCAUCCAUAACCAUAUUCCUGUAAGGAUUACUGUUCUCAUUUCCAACUUCAUGCAUGUUACUAGCACUAGAAGUUGACCCAACCACCUGUUCUUCCAUGCUCUCAUCAGGAACAAAUAGUUCUCCGUGAGCAUACCAACACAGGUAAUCUUCCAUGAACCCUUUGGUUAGAAGAUGCAUCGUUACAACAUCUUGAUGCAGAAACUUUAAAUUUUUACACUUCCUGCAUGGACACCUAAUACCGCCAUCAGUAAAAUUCCUCGGAAUAGAUGUUGCGAAAUUAAUAAAACCCUGGACACCGUUACAAUAAUCCAUCCUCCGCAAUCCUUGGGGUGAGUCCCGAUACAUCCAUGAACGAUCAUCCAUGACUUCUAUUGAACCUCUAUAAAACAUAACAAAAAUAUUGGUUUUCCCCGACAUUAUCCAACAAACUAAAACAACACUUAUGUUAAAUAUUCAUUAUCAAUUAUCAACUAUCAACGUUCAUACAUACAAAUUUAUACAUAUAUAAAUUUACAGAAAUCACAACUUCGAAAUAUAAUUGAUAACAAUUAAACAAGACACUUAAACAAGCUAUUAAUUAUUUAUUUCAUCACAACGACACAUUUAAUUCAAACAAAAUUUCAACAAUUUACAAACAAAUAUAAUUUGACAAAAUCUAAAACAAACUAUAACAACUACAAAAUUAUACAUUCAUACUACAAGUUUCUUUGACAAAUAACAAUUAAACAAGUACAAACGUUAACAAAAUACAUAUACUAAAACAAUAAAAUUCACAAUUAAAUAUUAAAACUAAAAAGGAUAGAUUUAUUUACAAAAAAAUGAUAAAAUCUACAAGAAACGGAUAUUGUGACCACGUACAAGAUAUAAGAAACUUGAGUGCUCGUGUUGAGAAUAGUGGAGAGUUUGGGAUGGGUGUUUGGCUGCAGUUUGGGAGGGGAGAGGUGGGAUGGGAAAGAAGAAGAAGGAGAAACAGAGGAAGAGAGUGUCGGCAGAUGGGUGCAUAUAAUGGUUUUUUCUGACGGAAUCACCGACGGAUUCAUUCCGUCGGUGAUUCCGUCGGUGAAAUCGCCACAUCACUGUACGGCUAUCUCAGUUUGAAUCCCUCGGUAAUUUCUGUCGGUAAAAUCGCCUGACGUCACCAUGCCGUUGCGUAUUUCCAGACGAACUGUAUACUCCGUCGGCGAAACCGUCGGUAUAUACCGAUGGAAUUACCGACGGAAUAAAUCCGUCGGUAUAUACCGACAUAUUUUGAGACGGAAUUAUUUCCAUCGAUAUAAAUUACCGACGGAAAAAUUCCGUCGGUAAUUCCGUUGCUUUUCUCCGGUUUUCUGGUAGUGAGUUUUGAUCAACUCCUUUUCUAUUAUAUUAUGUUCGAUUUAGCUGUUAAAUCUCUAUAUUUUAUUUAAUUUGGAUAUUGAUUUAUCUACUAUUAAUUUAUAUGAAUCACUUAAAAAAGUAACACAGCUUUAUACCAUGGAAUAAUUAAAGUGGGAUCGAGAGUGGCAAUGGAUGCUAAUUGAGAGGGGGAGGGGGCAAUUGCCCCCUCUUGCUCCUAUGUGGCUCCGCCACUGGUGCCAUUCAGGGUCAGAUUAUGUUGAUGAACCCAUUACCUGACGCUGCUAAGGCCUAUGCUUCUGUUAUGCAGGAAGAGAAGCAGCGUAGCCUGAGGAGUAUUCAUGAAAUAUUAGAUAAUUCUGCCAUGGCUGUGCGGAAGGCAGAAUCAGUGGCCCUUUGCUGCUAGACGUGGACAAUGUGCUCAUUCUCGUUCUUUAUCUGCUAACCCUUGCAUUGCUCUUACUAUGAUUGUGGUCAUCAUAUGCGAGAAACCUGUUGGAAACUGAAUGGAUAUUCACCAUAACACCCUAAAAAUCCAUCCAACAAGUUUGCUCCAGGCAGGCUCAGUUCAAGCGCAAUAAUGGCACUCAUUUUUCUACUAACAAUGUUAAAAAGGGUUAGCUCAUGCAUGAGGCAUCUUCAGUUAUGACUGGAUUUUCAGAUUUGCAUAUUCAGCAAAUACUAUCCAUCAUAUAGGGGAAGGGCACAAUGCAACCUAACUUGACACGAUCAAAAGAUUGAUGUCUUAUCCCAAGUGCAGGAAUGUCGAAAUAAUAAAUAAUCCUGCAAGACCGGGGUCAAAUCACAUAGAGUUUAACUAUAUAAAUUAUAAAUAAUAAUAAUAAUAAUAAUAAUUAGUUAAAGAGAAUUUUGAGAUGUGAGAUUAAUGUGAGGAUUAAACAAUAAUAAAAACAAAUGUCAAGGUUAGAGGAUCCACUAAUGAUAUUUCAAAUAAGUAUAAUAUAAACUCCUUUUAUUACUCAACAGUAACCUACACACAAAAGAGGUUCCAAUCGGAUGAUUUGUCAUUAAUAGCUCAUUAUAAAUUAUUAACAUGAUCAUAUUAGUUAUCUUAUUUAAGUAACACCAAUACUUUUAAAUAUUGUCAGGAAUUCAUGAUGUUAACUUAUGUUAACAACAAAUGAAGCUCCUUUCAUAGCACAGGUGUCGGUUAUACCAUACAGUUGGCUAUGAAGGAUCACACAUUUAUUUUACCAAGUGUUAUACAACACAAAUCUAGAUUAACCAUUUAACAAGUAAGGUAUUAAGAAUUAAUAAGAUAAAAAUGAUAAGACAUGUUAAUAUCAAACUUUCUUGGAUGUAAGCAUUGAAGUCCAUAUUGAGUUUAUAUUAUACAUAUCCUAACACCAUUAGUGAAACCUUUUCACCUUGACAUAUUAAACUUAGCUAAACAUUAUGAAGAAGAGAAAUAUAAAUAAACAAGAUGAGAACAUAAUUAUAUAAGUAUAGUAAAUGAAAUGAAAGGCAUAAACAAGAUAUUAAUGAAACUAUAACAUGAAAUAAAACUAGAACAUUAAAACUCAGAAAAUGAUCUUGAUAUGAAAAACCAAGAUGUCUAAAUGCAUGACAAAUGCCUCCUUUUAUAGGCCAAAAUUCAGAACUAUUGAUUUGAUGACUAAUUGUUGAGUGGGUGACCACAUCUUGACUUGGUGACAAUCCUUGAACAAAACGUCAUUGCUAACAUCAGAAUUUGAACAUAUAGUUUCAUGAAAGUUCUGGGAAAUUGUCUCAGCUUUCCAACAAAACAAGAAUUGGUAUAGUUGGACUUCUAGAACUCGAGAUAUGGGUUGAACACUGAACAGUGUCUAGGCUGCAGGACAGAUUCCGACUUCUCUGUUGUUACUACCAUUUGAACUCGAAAAUGGAACUUUUAAAUCUUGAACUCUUUAUGAAAGUUUUAGGCUUAUGUCUUAGCUUUCCAUACAUAUAAACCAGACCUAAAUCCAAGUUCUACAGCUCUAGUUAUGAUCCAAUAACCGAAUGGUGUUUCAGUUUGGACUUAACCAGCAUCUCUUUUCUAAGCUUAAUCCUCUCUUUGUCUUCUCAAUUUCAGUAGUUAAACUCAUCAAUCAAUCUUUUGAUUUAUGUGAUAGGCCUGCAUUUAAGAUGAACAUUUACCAUAAAUUAAAGGUAUUUUAUAUUAUUAGACAUGUUAUUAUAAAACAUGCUCUAAUUAAGGAGUUAUUGAUACUUCAAGUGCAAAAUGAUGAUAUAAAACCUUGAUAAAAAUGCACUUUUAAGUACUAAUCAUUCUACUGCCUACAUUAUUCAUCAAUUCACAUCAUGGAGUAUAAAGCAUUAACAAAGUAGCAUAAAACAAGAUUGAAAGACUCUCAUCAUUGGCUGACCACUAGCUCUAUUUAAUUAUCAAUUUUUUUUUACUUCAGCUACAAUAAUUUAAUCACUUUACUCUAACUUUCACAUUAUUCCCCAUGACAAUUUACAGUAAAUUUUUAUUUCCCCCAAAUUCAUUCAAGAACCCUAACUUUUCAAAUUUCAAAAAUUCAAUCAAUUAAGGACUUUAAGCCAUUAAAAAUCAGAUCAAAAGUCUUUAGAAUGCCUUACCAAGCAAGUAAUUAAACUCUAAACACUACCCAAUUCAAGCUUCCAACUCCUCUUCUUAUUUAAUCUUGGUCGAACUUCCUUUCUCCUUUUCUAUUCACCUUCACUAGAUUUUUCUUCCUUCAAAUUAAUGCUCACUAAGCUUGAUUAAUGUUUCCUCAAGAUCUUCUCUUAAGAUUUUAUGUUUCCUUUACCAUUUUUUCUCUCUCACAUGUAAAUGGUAGUUUCCCCUCUUUCCUUUUUUUUCUCUCUUUUUUCUUCUUGCGCGCACGUGCGCCCACACACACACACACACACACACACACACACACACACACAUAUAAACUUUUUACCAAAUUCCCUCUAUAUCCUUAAUAGUAAAUUUCUUGUUCCCGAGAUUAAAUUCCUAGAUCCUGGUAUUUGUCUAUAUAAACUUUUUACUCGGGUGAAUUCGAAUUUCAUUUAGUUACAUAUUGAUAAUUUUAUUUCUAGGUAACUCACUCCUAAUAAUAUUUUAUUCACUUUUCUGUAUUUUUUUCGUACUUUGUUUAUUCUAAUGCUUAUUUGGUACUUCUGAUAAAUCUAUUCUAUAAGCAUUUAGAUUGCUUUUCUGCCUAAUUUUCAACCUGGGUUUACAUUCUUCCCUUCUUAUAAGAAAUUUCAUCCUCGAAAUUUGAGUGAUGUACCUGAGUUUAUAAAUAAGUUGGGAAAUUUUCGUCUUAUUUCUGAUUCUCUCUCCCAUGUUUCUUCCUCUAUUUGUGAGCUUCGCCAUAAGACUUUGAUGAUGGGAACUUUCUUAUUACAAAGUUCUUUCUUGCCCUAAUUGAGUAUCUUUAUCGGUCUUACCUCAAGUGUUAAGUCUUCUUUCACCUCCACUGGCACUUGAGGUAACACUCUCAAAGGGUCUACAUUGGCUUUUCGUAGAAAAGAAACAUGGAAUACAUUGUGAACCUUGGCCAAAUAUGAGGGCAAGUUUAUUUCAUAUGUUACGGGUCCGAUACAUUUCAGGAUUUUAAAUGGUCCAAUGAACCUCGGAGCUAACUUCCCCUUCAUGCCGAAUCUCAGCAUGUGCUUCCAUGGAGCUUGUAACAACUCGGCUUUUCAAGCCCAAAACAACAUUAAUUUUUUUUUUGUAUUUGAAACAUAUCGUGUUGGUAAUCGGCGAACCUGUUCCCUCACAUCAUCAAGAUACAAUCCAUACAUCAACAAUAAUCAACAUUUCAUUUAAAAGUGAAUAUUACAUAAACAUAUAAUAUUGUGUUUGCAUGAUUAGAAGUUCACAUUAAAAAUAUACAUGCAUAGACAUGAGUUUGUAUUCUAUCCUACAAAUAGUCAUCACGAAUUUAAACAAAAAGGAUCUAAUAAUAGUCAUACAUUCAAUACAUUGAUUCAUACAAAAUACAUCAUGAUUUAGAAUGCAACUACAUGAUUCCUUGCAAAAGUAGGUUCCCGUGUAUUGGGUUUUCUAGGCACCUUGUUGGUGUGAUGUUCCUGCUGUAGUACAAAACAUUUACAAUAAUGCAAUUACUUAAUAAUAAUAAUGAUAAGAAACGGUCUGGCAGUUUAAUGAAGCAUUAACAUUAUCUCAUGUUUGAAGCGUGACAUUUGUAGUUCCUUCAUGUAAAUAACUUGUAGUACAUAUAGAUGCACCAAUUCUUGCAAUCAGCCAUAAUCUUAAAUCUGGCCAUCCUCUUAAGGCAUCAUUUGCCGAGGUUAAUCGUUCACUCACCCCGACCAUCCACUUCGAAUGCCAUCAGCCAAAGCUAAUCAACCAUUUGUCCCGGUCGUCUAUUUGGAUGCCAUCAGCCGAAGCUAAUCAUUCAUUUGUUUCGGUCAUCCAUUCGGAUGCCAUUAGCCAAAGCUAAUCAACCGUUUGUCCCGGUCGUCCAUUUGGAUGCUAUUAGCCGAAGUUAAUCAUUCAUUUGUCCCGGUCAUCCAUUCGGAUGCCAUUAGCCAAAGCUAAUCAACCGUUUGUCCCGGUCAUCCCUUCAGAUGCCAUUAGUCGAAGUUAAUCAAUCGUUUGUCCUGGUCAUCCCUUCGGAUGCCAUUAGGGGAAGCUAAUCAAUCGUUUGUCCCGAUCAUCCCUUUGGAUGCCAUUAGCUUAAGCUAAUCAUUCAUUUGUCCUGGUCAUCCAUUCGGAUGCCAUUAGCCGAAGCUAAUCAUUCAUUUGUCUCGGUCAUCCAUUCGGAUGCCAUUAGCCGAAGCUAAUCAACCAUUUGUCAACAUUUAAGCAUUUGGCAAUCUGAUAUCUGAAUUAACACAAUAUGAUAAAAUUCAUGAUAAAGUAUUUCAUUAUUCAACGUUAUUAAAAAGGAAGGUGAAAGUCACCUACCUGCAGUAGAAGCUCUACUCGUGCUCCCCUGUUGCUGCUGUUGCACCACACCGGUGGUCCCUCUUGCAGUCACAGGCUCAUCUCAUAAAUUUUUCUCAUUCAAGGAUAUGUUUUAUCUAAUCAUAUCAACAGCUAAUAGAUCUUUCUUUCAAUCAUUUCUUUCUUUAUAUUUUACAUUUUUCUCAUUACAUCCAUUAAUGUUGUCAUCCUUUAUCCAACCAUAGUUAUCAUUCCUUUCUUUAUAUUUGAACUGUUAUUGUCCAACCGUUACUGUCUUGACAUUGAACUGUUACUGUCCGACCUCUCCUCAGAUUUUUAACUAUAUCUAGAGUUAUAGAACUCCAUUUCAAGCGAGAUUGGUCUCGUUGGAAAGUUAAGACAUGAGGCUACAAGUUCUUUAAAGGAAAGAGAACCCAGUUCUGCCUCUAAGACAGUCAAAAUUACACAUCAACAAACAUUGGACUGUUACUGUUCAACUGUUACCGUCUUGAUAUCGAACUGUUACUGUCCGACCUCUCCUCAGAUUAUUAACUAUAUCUAGAGUUAUAGAACUCUAUUUCAAGCGAGAUUGGUCUCGUUGGAAAGCUAAGACAUGAGGCUACAAGUUCUCUGAAGGAAAGAGAACCCAGUUCUGCCUCUAAGACAGUCAAAAUUGUUCAUCAACAAACAUUGAACUAUUACUGUCCAACUGUUACUGUCUUGAUAUCGAACUGUUACUGUCUGACCUCUCCUCAUAUUUUUAACUAUAUCUAAAGUUAUAGAACUCCAUUUCAAGCGAGAUUAUUUUCGUUGGAAAGCUAAGACAUGAGGCUACAAGUUCUCUGAAGGAAAGAGAACCCAGUUCUGCCUCUAAGAUAGUCAAAAUUGCUCAUCAACAAACAUUGGACUGUUACUGUCUUGAUAUCGAACUGUUACUGUUCGACCUCUCCUCAGAUUGUUAACUAUAUCUAAAGUUAUAGAACUCCAUUUCAAGUGAGAUUAGUCUCUUUAGAAAGCUAAGACAUGAGGCUACAAGUUCUUUGAAGGAAGGAGAACCCAGUUCUGCCUCUAAGACAGUCAAAAUUGCUCAUCAGCUGAUCAGUCCUACUGCCUUAUAGAGUCAGUCAUGACCCAGUCUCGGUUGGUGACCCAUAACUAGAGUUCUACAGCUCCAAUUUGAGCAAGACCAACUUCCUUAGUUAGCUAACAUCCAAGACUACAAUUACUAUGAAGAAACUUGAUCCUAACUCCCUUAUCAUCCUACUCAAAUUCUCUCUAAAAGUCAGGAGAUGAAUCUAUCCAGAUUCAUCAUCCUUUCCAUUUACACAUAACAUUCACAAUUUAACUUUUUCUCUUCUAUCUCAACCCCUAACCAUAUCACAUACCGUUUAAGAGUGUCAAAAAUAUCUUUUUAAGAGCCAAUUUAUCUUAUUUAUUUCAAUCUUCCCUCUUUGAUGCAUAAUUGACCGAAAGCAUGGCCUUAAGGAAGCAAGAGUUCCUUCACUCUUUUCAUGCUAAUUUCAUUAAAUUCACACAAAACCAAUUUUGACAACAGUUUCAAUCAACCAUAAAUAACAAAAGAAUAAUAUUCUACACAAUCCAUACGGUCAAGUUAUAAUACAUUAUUAUGAGUAUAACAUAUCCAAAUAUCAACUUCAUCAAAUGGUGAAAUUUCCAGAAAUAUGGGUUUAACCAAACUGACCUCAAACUUGCAGACCUACUGUGCGAGAAGCACAAUUUCUAUACCGAGUGUUUGUUUCUGAUCUCCAUCGUUCAUAAUCUAGAAAGCAUCAGGAAGAACAACAUAUCCAAAUUAUAGCCUGAUCCGACGGUGUCCGAAGGAGAAAAUAGUCAGCGACGAAGACUAUCCAGAAGUUUAUUUUCCCAGAACUUUUCCUCCUGCAAUAUCUCCCAAACGGGGACAGAUAUAGAAGAUCCCUCCAGUAAAACUGUACACGACAUGGAGGAGAACAAUAUAUCUAAAUAUUGUUCUAAUCCUACGGUAGAAGGUGGAGUUAUAGCUGUUGGAUUUUCUGCCAUCAAUACAUCUUCUCUCCAGCCUCUCUCUCAACUCUCUCUUGCUCUUACAAGUACUCCAAGAGAAAAAAUAGAAUGAUAUUUAUAAUGCUAUCAUCUUGUUAAUUGCACAUUUAUCCCCACCCCUUUUUAUCAUUUGUACAUAAAUUCCUAACCUUCUGUUAUUUGAAUAUUGACCUCUAUUGGUCUUACGUAUUCAUUUUAUCCCCACAACUAUUUUUCUUUUCAACAAUUUAGUACUAUAUUCACUUUUCAUUUCAUUAAUUUCAAUAUUUUUAUCUUGAUUUAGGUUUCUUUAAUUUAAUUUAACUCAUUUUACUAUUGGUUAAAUUUCUUAUAUUUUAAUAACCUAGAAAAAUUAUAACCGGGGGUUUACAGAGCUACCUUCGGAAAUACUUUAUCUCUAGGACAAAAUUCAAGGGGUCUUCUUUGAAUAUCUACAUACUUUUUCUAUCUAUCCUGAGCCACCUUCAUUCGAUCCUUAAUGAUCCUCUCUUUUUCAGCAGUGAUUUGUACUAAUUCUGCCCCAUACAACUUUCUGUCCCCAACUUCUUCCAAACACAAGGGUGUCCUAUACUUUCUGCCCUAAAGAGCUUUAAAUGGGGCCAUUCCAAUUGUUGUCUGAUAACUGUUGUUAUACGUGAAUUCUACUAGCGACAGGUGCUCCUCCCAAUUUCCACUAAAUUCCAAAUCACAUCCCCUUAGUAAAUCCUCUAAAAUCUGAAUAACUCUCUCAUUGACCAUCAGUCUGCGGAUGAAAGACAAUACUGAAAUUCAAAUUUGUUCCUAAGGCAUGUUGUAUGCUUAGCCAGAGAUGUGAAGAAAACCUUGGGUCUCGGUCUGAAACAAUUGAUACUGGAACUUCAUGAAGCCUCACAACUUUUUUCAUAUAAAUCUUAGCCAACUUGUCAACUGGAUCCGUCUUUUUUACUGGUAGGAAAAGGGCAGACUUAGUUAGUCGAUCCACAAUGACCCAAAUUGCAUCAUUUCCCCUCUUCCCCCUGGGUAGUCCCGACACAAAGUCCAUUGUGAUCAUCUCCCACUUCCAUUCAGGGAUUAGUAAUGGUUGUAACAGCUUUGCCGGCUUUCGGUGCUCCACUUUUACUUGUUGGCAAAUACUACAUUUUGCCACGUAGUUAGCCAUUUCUUUUCUCAUAUUUGGCCACCAGAAGUACUGUUUCAGAUCCUGGUACAUCUUAGUAUUACCUGGAUGUACAGUGAACUUAGACUUAUUUUCUCAUAUUUGGCUACCAGUAGUACUGUUUCAGAUCCUGGUACAUCUUAGUACUACCUGGAUGUAUAGUGAACUUAGACUUGUAGGCCUCUCACAGUAACUUUUUUUUAAGGACUUUGUUGUCAGGCACAUACAUGCGUCGCCCUAACAUCACUAUUCCAUCAUCUCCCAUUCAAAAAAGAGUUUCACCCCCCGAUUCCAGUUUGAUUCUUACUUUUGACACUUCAUCAUCAAGCUAUUGUGCCUCUAAUAUUUGCUCUCGAUAUCCUGACUUCACCCUUAGUUGAGCCAUUAAGGAUCCUUCUGGACUCACAUUUAAUACUGCCCCCAAUCUCUUUAGCUCAAGCAUGGUUUUCUCAUCCUAAGUUGCUGGGUCCACCCAUAAUUGCCUUGUCUUUAUGGCUGAGAGCAUCCAUGACUACAUUCGCUUUUCCUGGAUGAUAAUCUAUAAUACAGUCGUAGUCUUUAAUUAAUUCUACCCAUCUCCGUUGUUGCAUGUUCAACUCCUUCUGUGACAUAAGAUAUUUAAGGCUCUUAUGAUAUGUGAAAUUUGAACCCGGGUUCCGUAUAAGUAGUGCCUCAAUACUCGUAAGGCAAAAACUAUUGCUGCCAAUUCUAAGUCAUGAAAUGGGUAGUUGAUUUCAUGAGUCUUCAGUUGUCUCGAUGCAUAGGCAACUACUCUUCCAUGCUGCAUUAGGACACAACCUAGUCCUUUUUUUGAGGCAUCGCUGCAGAUUACAAAACCUUUUAUUCUGGAUGGAAGGAUUAGUAGAGGGGCAGUAGUAAGCCUUCUCUUCAAUUCAUGAAAGCUAUCAUCGCACUCCUUUGAUUGCUCUCAUCGCACUCCUUUGACCACUCCCAUCUUAUAUUCUUCCUAGUGAGUCAUGUCAAUGGAGUUGCUAUUAUUGAAAACUCUUUGAUAAACCUUUUAUAAUACCCUGCCAAUCCAAGAAAACUACGGAUUUCAAUUACCGUAGUAGGCCUUUCCCAUCUCAGAACUGCUUCCACCUUUUGAGGGUCCAUAAAAAUGCCUUCUGAAGACAUUACAUACCCUAAAAGGUAACUUCUUUUUACCAUAAGUCAUAUUUAUCCAACUUGGCAUACAACUGGCGGCUCCCUAGAGUCUGUAGUGUAUGUCUCAAGUGUUGUUCAUGCUCUUCAUAGGAUUUGGAGUAAACCAAGAUAUCAUCGAUGAAUACGACAAUAAACUUAUUACGGUACGGUUGGAAUACUCGGUUCAUUAAAUCCAUAAAAAGUGCUAGAGCAUUAGUUAAUCCAAAUGGUAGCACUAAGAACUCAAAGUGUUCGUACCGGGUUCUGAAUGCAGUUUUCAGCACAUCUUGCCCUUUGAUUCGCAUAUGGUAGUAUCCUAAUCUUAAAUCAAUCUUUAAGAACACUUUAGCACCCUUCAACUGAUCAAAUAAAUCAUCUAUCCGCGGAAGCAAAUAUCUGUUCUUUACUGUCACUUUAUUCAACUAAUGGUAAUCUAUACAAAGCCUCAACGUUCCAUCUUCUUCAUCACAAAUAAUACAGGUGCCCCCCAAGGUGAGUUGCUUGGUCGUAUGAACCCUUUGUCUAAGAGCUCCUGCAAUUGAAUUUUCAACUUAUCCAAUUCCUUAGGGGCCAUUCUAUACGACGGUUGGGCUAUAUGAGACACCCCAGGCAAUAUGUCGAUGGUGACUUCAACUUCUCUUUCUAGGGGUAGUCCCAACAGUUCUUCCGGAAAUACAUCCGGAAACUCCCUCACAAUUGGAAUGCCAGACAAUCCUAUUUUACCCUUUUCUGAAUUUAUCACAUAGGCAAGGUAUGUUAUACAACCUUUCUUUAGUAGUUUUCUCACAGCCAUAACCGAGAUUAUAUUUCUAAGGUUGGAAAUUCUCUCCCCUUUAAAGACCAUUGUUUCACCCUUAGCCCCUUGGAAGGUUACUGUUUUUGUAAAGCAGUCUAGACGAGUCUUAUUUUUUACCCAACCAAUUCAUGCCUAGGGUUAUAUCAAAAUCACUUAAUUCUAGGGGUAUUAAAUCUGCUUCUAGUUCACACCCAUUAAUGUUAAUUCCCACCCCUUUGAAUACAAUUUAUGUUUCCACAGUUUCACCCAAAGGUGUCCCAAUAAUAAAUCCUUUUUCUACCAUUUUUGUUCCUUUAUUCAGUUUUGCUACUUUUUUAUUUGCUAUAAAGGAAUGGGUGGCACUAGAAUCGAACAAAACAUGCAUUUGAUAGGUAUUCAUUUGCAGCAUACCUGCCACCACAUCUGAUGCUGCUCUGACAUCCUCCUGGGUUGUAUGAAAAACUCUUCCCUGACCUUUUUCAUUUUGCAUUCUAGGUCGUCCUCUAUUAGAGUUGACUCCUGACUGAGUCGUCUUUCCUGGUAUGUUCACCGUGAUGGACUGCUGGUGACUCUAACUUGGCUGCCUUUGAUUCUGAGGUUGUUCAGUAUUUAACCGGGGGCAUUCUCUUUUAAAAUGACCCUUCUCACUACAAUGAUGACAUCCUCUUACCAAGUACUGGCAGGCUCUCCACCUAUGACCUUCUCCUCAGCAUAUAUAGCAUCGGCCAGGAGAAACCAAGCAAUUCCCAGGGUGUUUUUGUUCGUACUAUGAACAAAAAGGGUAGACAAUUAUGAUAAUUAGACCCCUCUGAAGCAACAGUCCUGGAGCUGAUAUUCUGUCGAGAACUAGCUAAUGUCCGUCUUCUUUUCUUGAAUUGAAAGAACUGUCUGCCUUUACCCUUCUUUGGAAGUGGUGGCUUGCCUGAAAAUUCCAUAUCCUUUCGUUUUCGUACACCCCCGUGACUUUGUUGGCCUUCUUCUAUACAAGCCUUCAAGGCCUGUGCUGCUUCAAUAAGUUCCCUUACUGUCUUGAAUUGUAAAGCAAUCAACCCCUGCUUCAAUUCUUGUCUGAAGCCAUCCCUUAACUUUUCUAUCAUGUGUUGUUCUGAUGGGACAUAAUGUGGUGCGAAUAGUGAGAGGUCAUGAAAUCACCUCUCGUACUCAAGUACUGACAACCCCUAUUGUCUCAAGGCUAGGAAUUCAUGUUCAUUCAUCUUUCGAUGAUAUUUGGAGUAAUAUUGAUCCUCAAACUCCGUCUUGAAAUCAUCCCAGGAUAGGGUUUCUGUAGCCCUCCUCAACUAAACUGUCUCCCACCAAGUCAUAGCACCGUCUGAGAGUAAUUGUGUACCACAAUCUACUUGCAGAUCAUUUGGUAUCUUAAUUUGAAUCAUCGUUUCCUCUACCUUUCUAAUCCACCUUCCUGCCACUUUAGCAUCCUGUUCACAACCCAUUUCUCUCAUACUUUUCACCAAUCGAACUAGAUGUACCAUUUAUCAGUAGCUCUAGCUGCUUCUGAAACAAUUUGUAUGAUGUGUGCAGGUGGGGGUGCUGGCAUAGGAGUGGCAACAUUAGCCAUACCUUCCAUUACUGCUUUGACUAGUUGGGCCAAGAGCAUCGAAUCAACAUAAGAAACAGAUGGCCCUGCAGGUGUAGUCUGAGGGGGCUCCUCUGCUUGUUCCCGUGGGGUUGACACGGUCGGCCGGACAUCCCCAGUUUUCCCUGGUGCCUGUCUGACUUGAGGCCCUGUUGAUUCUUCAUGCCCUGCUUGAGUCGAUAUUGCUGGUGCAUGUGAAGCAGUAUCUUCCAAAGGGCUCUCUUCUUGCCCCUCAUAAAAGUCUAUAUCUUUGUCCCCCCUCCCUGUAGAGGAUAUAUCUGUUCUAAUCUCUUGACGGGUACGUACCAUCCUGCAAUAAAUUAACAAACAUCAACAACCCUUUUUGAAUUCUUCCUAGAAUCCAUACUAGGGCUCUGAUACCAACUGUAACAGACUCGAUUGUACGAUUUGAUCAACGCUAAAAGAUCCCAACAUGUGCUCUUAAUUUGAGGGUAAAUUUUUUUUUUUGUAAAGAAUUCUACCAAAAUUUCAGUAGAGUUUCAUUUGUAUUUAGGACAUCCCAAGUUAUCGACUACUAUCAAUUUACUCAAUCAACCCAUCAUCACAAGCUCCCAUAAUUCUAGACCUUAUUUCAAUCAUUAAUAUUCAAUACCCAAUACAAUCCACACAAUAUAUAUAUACCCUACGAAUAAGUUCAAUAUGAACAUAGCCCACAAAUCAUAUUAUAAAAUUUAAAAGAAAAAGGGAUACUAACAUGUAAAGAGAGAAUUUAAAACAUAAUAAGUAUUCUUAAAUAUUCCAAAAGGGUUAAUUACAGGAUAACUAAUAUACUAUAUGUUGAGCUAAGACUUUUAUAUAAACAUCAAGGUUUACACAAAAGCAUACUGCAUAAUCGCGUUAAUUCCAUUAUGCUUAAGUUAAAUUUUUAUUUUCCUCAAAUUCAUUCAAGAACCCUAACUUUCCAAAUUUCAAAAAUUCAUUCAAUUAAGGACUUUAAGCCAUUAAAAAUCAGAUCAAAAGUCUUUAGAAUGCCUUACCAAGCAAGUAAUUAAACUCUAAACACUACCCAAUUCAAGCUUCCAACUCCUCUUCUUAUUUAAUCUUGGUCGAACUUCCCUUCUCCUUUUCUAUUCACCUUCACUAGAUUUUUCUUCCUUCCAAUUAAUGUUCACUAAGAUUGGUUAAUGUUCCCUCAAGAUCUCCUCUUAAGAUUUUAUGUUUCCUUUACCACUUUUUUCUCUCUCACAUGUAAAUGGUAGUUUCCCCUUUUUAUUUUUUUCUCUCUUUUUUCUUCUUGCUCGUGCACACACACAUGCACACUUAUAUAUAUUAACUUUUUACCAAAUUUCCUCUAUAUCCCAAAUAGUAAAUUUCUUGUUCCCGAGAUAAAAUUCCUGGAUCCUGGUAUUUGUCUAUAUAAACUUUUUAUCCGGGUGAAUUCAAAUUUCAUUUAGUUACAUACUGAUAAUUUUAUUUCCAGGUAACUCACUCUUGGUAAUAUUUUAUUCACUUUUCUGUAUUUUUUUUUGUACUUGGUUUGUUCUAAUACUUAUUUGGUACUUCUAAUAAAUCUAUUCUAUAAGCAUUUAGAUUGCUUUUCUGCCUAAUUUUCAACUGGGAUUUACAAAUAUAAUACACACACACACACACACACACAUGUAUAGUAUUAUUCAUUUUAUCAUUUAAUACAUGUAUACAUAUUUCAAAUAUAUCUAUUACUAUUUUAUUUUUUGUUGAAUAUUAAAUAACAGUAGAACAAUGAAUACCAAUAUGGAUAUAUACUCGAAUAAUAAUGAGUAGGGUAUAGAUAUAGAAAAACCAAACUCGUAGAUAUCCAUUGCGAUCCUUAUACAUAAUUUCAAUAUAUAAAAUCAAUGCAUUAAUUCACUUAUUUUUAUUUUACAAAGAUAAAAUGAUGAUAAGUGCAAAAUAUACAUAUGUUUUUAUUCAUUUUACAUUAUGCUUUUAAUGUGUUUUAAGCUUAUUUGAGCUCAUUGAAAAUAAUUGUAUGAGUUUGGCAUGCGUAAGAGACUUGGUGAAUUAAUUGCUAAAAGAUAAGAAAUUCUAUAUUUUAUGUUUCGACCCUUGGUUUUUUUGAUAGGUUUUUCACCAAGUUGGAGUUACAGAAUAAGAACGUGGCUUAAUCAAAGUUGAACUACACAUAUCCAGCUUUUCAGGAAGGUAUUAUGGGCAGAAAUCUAAUCUCAUUGGAACCGUUAAUCAGGUCUGCAAAAUCAAGCCAAUAUCUUACUUGCAGCAAAAUUCUUUACUUUCACACUAGAUAUUCAAACGGGCAUAUCUUGAGUUUCAGAUAUCGAUAUCAAGAAAUUCAAAAGCCCAGAUUCAUCUAAACAUCAAGGGAUAUAACUUUUAUAAAGGGCUCCAGGUUAGAUAAAAUUAUUUUCAAGAUGAAAAUCUUGAUGCAAGCCGGAUGACGAGUUUUGUCUCCUAAUCUAAUGGGAAACUAACAAGAUGGGAAUCCUGUCGUUUAAAGAAAAUCUAAUAGGAUCAUAUAGAUAUUGUCUAUAGCCUUCUAAUUGUCAAUUUCGAUUCAAGGGGAAUAAACACCUUCUUCAUUAUCAAGUUGUGAGAAGUAACAUUAUCAUUGUAAUUCUUUGAGACACAAGUACUUAUUUUUUCUUAUUUCAAAAUUAUGCUAUUGAUUUCCGCUCAACACAAUUGAAUUGUUUUGAGAUGACAUGUAUGCUUUCUAGUUUCUUUCAAUCCGUAAUUAUUGUUAGAGACUGGAUUUAGAAGCAAAAGAAUUAAUUUGAUUGUUGCAGCUCUCAUCUUAAUUUAUCAGGGAAGAAUAAGUUAAGUUAAAUUGUCAAGCUUUUAAAUGGUUGCUUAGUAUAAAUUUGAUAGACUUCGCUCUUAAGGUUACUUUUGAAAUAAUAAGAAUUGAUUUUCAAUAUUAAAUUUUUUGAUGGUAAGAAAUUGAUUAGAAAGCUUUGUCUAAUUAAUUUACUAAUAGUCUCCUCGAUUCCACUUAGCUUUAAGAGAUAUCAAAUUUAUUUGCAUGACUUGAAAGAACAUUUACUUUUAUUUUGAUGAUCAACAAAUUUAUAAGAACGAAUGUAUGGACCUUUUGAAUUGAGUUAACAACAUAUCAAUUUUUCAAUUUUAUUUCUAGAAUUUCAUUUCUUUAAUUAUUCAAAUCCCCUCAUUUUAUUUAUUUUAGUUUCUUGUAGGAAGAUUAAACAAAAUUUUCCAAAUAAAAACAUGCAAAGUGUGUGAGAUAUUUGUUUUCGGAAGUUAGUUGAAUGAAUAUUAUAAGAUGGUUGAAUAUAACCAUAAAAUUUGAAAUUUGAGAAUUUUUAGAUCAUUGUGAAAAAUCUUGCAAUGACUAUUAUAUGUACCGAUCAUUUUUAUAAAAAUAACGAUUGACUAAUAAACCCAAGAUUCUAACCUUAGGCUUUGUCUUUCGGAUAUUGAUUAAUAAAGAAAAAUAAAAAUAAAAAUAAAAUUGUCCUUGUAUUAAUUGUUCCUAUCAAUUGAUUAAUUAAUCCAAGAUAGAAUGGUCUUAUACCAGGUCCUGUCUUUCAGGUGUCGUUUAUCGAGUAACAGGAUCAAUUAAUAUUUGAUCGAUGAAUUAAUUGUUUCUAUCAAUUACUAAUUGACUCAUGAUGAUAUGAUCUAAUAUUGGGCUAUGUUCUCUUGGUGUCGAUAAGUGAAUAAUAGUACCAAUUAAUACAUGAUUUCUAGGAUAUUAACCAAUAAAAUUAAGUAGCCCAAGAUGGAAUGGUUCAAUAGGGGCCUAUUCUUUGGAUGCUAUGUAAUGAAUAAUAUGAAUUUAAUUUUCAACCUGCAAUAAGCCUCAUAUAUAGAUGUGCUCAUCAUUUCCAAAUAAUCGCGGAUUGAAAGGUCAAUAGUAUAACUUGUUCUUUAAAUCUUGUUUAAUAAAUAAUAAGAACAAUACAUCGAAUAACAUAUAUAACAGUUUAGGUGAACCACAAGAAAACACAUUUAUCAUUGAAAACAAACAACAAUGCAGCCUACCUUAAUUAUGAUGUAUAGAGUUAUGUCUAUCUUACCUAUUACAUAACCAACUCCUUACCAAAACCUCUAAAGACCUGUUAGGGUUUCUAGUUACCAUAAAUCUAGGUAGUGACUCAUUUUUCUUGUUUUACCUUUUUUUCACAUAGCUCGCCCCGAUGUCCACAUGCAAUACAAAUUUGACCAAGUGAACCGGGUUGCAAGUUGACCUUUUAAGUCACUCGGGUUUGACUGGAUCAUUGUCCACUUCUGUUUAGAAGAAAAUCAAACCAAAACAAGGUUUUGGGUUAGCAAAUCACGAACGCAUCCUGUUGGACUAGACCAAGUUUAAUGACUAUGACUUACAUAACCUCUCAUAGAAAUUGCACUUGGAUCUAAGUUUUUUGAGGUAAAAAAAAUUAUAAAAAUAGCACAAUUAAUUAGUUGCAUUGUUAGUAACGACUCAACCAUAUAAAUUACAUUACUCUCAACAAUACAAUUCAAUAUGUUACACUAUUAAGAAUAUCAGAAACCUAUUGAAAUAUAUAUUUUUUAUUUUAAUUUAGAAUUUUAAAUAAUUUUUUUCCUCUGCAAAUCAAAAUAACUAAUUUAUUGAUGUCAUUUUAUUCUCAAUAAUUAUGAUAAUUAUUAAUGAAAAUGAUUGGUUAUAAUCAAUUUAUAUUUCAAUAGGAUUCCUUAACUUAUAAUUAAUUAAUAAUUAUGAUAAUUAUCAAUGAAAAUGAUCGGUUGUGGUCAAUUUAAAUUUCAACAAGAUUUCUUAAUAGGUUAGUUGUAGUCAAAUUAAAUUUCAAAAGAAUUCUUUAACUUAGUAGGUUAAUUAAUAAUUAUCAAUGAAAAUAAUUAGUUGUAGUUGAUAUAAAUUUUCUUAACUUGGUUAAUUAAUAAUAAUCAUAAUUAUCACACCGUGACGAAUGCGAGACUCUUCAAAAUUAAAGGAAAACAAUAAUGAAGUCACCACCUAGUAAUAAAAAAAACUAGGAAUCCUAAAAUAGACACUGGUAAGAGAUUUAGAUAUUGAGUUAGUUAUGCCUAAGGAAAGAUCGAUGUCACCCUUACCGUAUCCUUUCAAACAAAAGGUUACCUCCAUAAUGUUUUUUUCCAAAUUUAUUCUAUGCAUGCUAUUAAUUAUCUAAAUCUAUUUCUAUUUCUAUUUGUGAUUUAUAUUAAUAAAAAAUUGACGUUCCCUAAAAAUAUUAUCCUCCAUAAUUUUUUUCUUGGUGAUGUUCCCUCACAAAUACCAAGAGUUUUAUCCUAAUUCUCAAAGGAUUACAAGAAUGAUUUUACUCACAACAAAACUCUCUCAAAGAGUAGAUAAUACAAUUUAAACUCUAGUAUCUCCAUAGCUCACUUAAUAGAUAGAUGAUUUGAAAGUGUUUAAGUGUAGUGAGUAUAAGAACAAAUACUCUAGUGCUAGAAUAUGAAGGCUCAAUUUAACACAACCUUGGAGUAUGAUAGGAUUGAUGAUUUUUUGUUGGUUUUUUCUUAAAACAACUUUUAUAAUAUGUAUAUUUGGAAUCCUCUUUUACUUUAACUAGAAUGAGAGUUAUUUAAAAGUUUCCAAAACAAACUAGCCAUUUCUAGCCAUUGUAACCCCAUUGAUAGCUAAAGCGAUCGACUGAUUUAGAUUGGGCAAGCCAAUUAGUCGUCUGGUUCCUAUAGAUUCUUAGAUGUUCAUCACGAAUGAACAAGUGGUACACUAGUUCACUUGGUAUUACCAAGUGGUCGACUGGUUCAACUUAAAUACUAGAUUUUGACAAUUUGAACCUGCUGAAUUUUGAACCGAUACUAAUCCUAUAUAUAUGCAGAGUGAUGUGUUUAAGUUCAUUUUAAUUGUGCUAUUAAGUUAAGAUAUAAAGAUUUAUAUAAUCACUAAAAUGAACAAUUAAUUAUUGGAUUCUCAAAUGUUCUUCACUUGCUUCGGUGGCUAGGUUUCAAAGAAAAAGAAGACUAAGAAAUGAACAAUUAAUAAUUAAAAUGAACAAUUAAUUAUUAGAUUCUCGGCCCAACCAGGGUGGGUUCAACCCACAUCAUUAGGCUGGGCCCAACCCAAUAUAUUUUUAUAAUAUAAUAAUAAUAUUAUAUAUUAAACAAAAAGUUCCAAAUUUUUUCAAAAAAACCUUUUAAAAAAUUUGUGAUUUUUUCACGUAUUUUUCUAUCAAUUUUGAUUAAUAUUGGUUUGUAUUUUUAUAUUGUAAAAAUACAAAUCUGGUAUUAAAAUACAUAAUUUUCUUUGAAAUGUUGCAUAUAUAUAUAUAUAUAUAUAUAUAUAUAUAUAAAUUUCAUAUCGUAUUUUCAUGAAAAAUAAAAUUAAAAAAAAAGUGUUAGCAUACAUUUUGAGCUUUAAUAACCAGUUUAUUAAAGUCAUGACAACUAGGCCUAUAUUUUAAAAAUACAAAAAAAAUAUAUUUUGUUUUCUUUUAGUAUCUGAGAUUACAAACUUUUAUUUAUAGACAUUAGAAUGAUUAGGUUUUUACCGAUAUUAAAAAUAUAGUUCUUUUAUAUAUAGAUAUUAGAACGGUUAGGUUUUUACUCGAUAAGAUUAUGAUCUUCUUACUGAGGAGAAUAUUUUUUAAACCUUUGAUAGACCAACAAUUAGAAAACACAACAAUACUCUAGUUAUAUUAGACAAUCAAACCAUGUUAAAAACAGAGUUUACAAUUCCUGUCAUUAUUAGUGUAUGUCAUUGGCAGCUAUUAUUAGUAGUCGGAGGGAGUAGUUGUUGUUGUCCUAGGAUUCAAGCAACAAUACACCUAAAAAGAAAGGUGAAUUAAGUGUUCCACUAAUAAUAACAAAUAUUAAAAUUAAUUCAAUUAAACACAAUUAACGAACAAUAUAAUUAAAUUGCGUAAAGUAGAGAGUAAAGAGAUAGGAAUUGUAAACUCUAUUUUUAACAUGGUUUGACAAGUCUAUAUCCGCAUCUCAAGCACCCAAAUUGGUCUUGUGUAUUUUGUUCUUUCACUAGUCCAAGUUGAAGAUUACAAUUGUCACUUGAUGAAUCCACACCAAGAUUUUACAUUACUUGAAGAUAUAUUUUUUUGACAGUUUGAACCUACUGAAUCUUGAAUCGAUACUAAUCCUAUAUAUAUACAGAGUGAAGUGUUUGAGUUCAUUUUAAUUAUGCUAUUAAAUUAAAAUAUAAAUAUUUACACAAUUACUAAAAUAAUCAGUUAAUUCUUAGAUUCUAAUUUGAUCUUCAUUUGCUUCGGUGGCUAGGUUUUAGAGAAGAAGAAGGCUAUUUUUUAUUUCUACACUUUCACUCCAUUUUUUUUUCUUUCUCUAUCUUAAAUUUUUCUUCAAGGGUUGCUAGGGUUUCUUACCCACUCCUUUUCUUUUCCUUCUAAUUUUUCUAUGGAGGCUAGAGUAUUUUUUAACAAUCAUAUCCUUUGAUUUCUUUGGGUCGAUUUUGACCCUUCAUUGUUGUUGUAUAUUUGGGACAAAAUGCUCGUCUUCUAUAAAGCUCACACCAAAUCUUAAUCAUAAAGAGUGGGGAUGAGAGAGAGAGAAAAGAAGAAGAAGAAGAAGAAAACGGGGCUGAAAAACUUCACUGCCAUUUUUCAAAAUCAGACGACCCGUUUCCUUUCAAAGGUUAGCCAAAAAGUUCCCAUACACACCCAUUAGCGAGCUUCUUCUUUACCAAAAAAAAAAACUAAAAAAAUUAGAUCAUCAUUUUCAAACCACCUUCUAGCUAGAACUGGAAACAAAAAAACAGUACAGACUCUCUCAUCAGCGCUGCCUCUUUCGCCACCCUCGAGUUACUAUCCUGCCCCACGUUGACUCCAGGAACCAUAGCCGCUGCUUCCACAGUACCAUUAACCUGAGGUGUUCAUUACCGGAAUCAUAACCCAAGGCAGGGCAGGAGCCCACUCACAUCGUCCAUGUGCAUCUUCAGCGUGGUCGUUCUACUUUCUUGCCUCUGACCUCUCUGGACUUAGCUUUAUUCAAGCACUAGCCACUCAAAAAAAGAGUGAAGAAGAGGUACGGGAUAUCCAGUGGAGCUAUCUCCAUCAUAAUCACUCAAGGUAUAAAGCUUCUACCUAUUCUCAUGUAGUUGUAAUCUUUUACAUGUGCAUGCUACUGCAAAGGCAAGCUCCCGUUUUUCCUUUAUGUGCUAUGAAGUUAACAUAUAGUGUUGUAAGGUGUGUGGAUCUUUUAAGUCCUAACCUGGUCACGGGUGUUCUUUCACUUGCUACGGGUACUGAAGGGGAUGGGGUGUGAUUUUUCCUUCAAACGCAUAUGGUCUUGAAAACUUGAUUGCAUGUCCUAAGGUCAUGUUAAGACCUUGCCUAGUUAAUUAAGAAUGCUCUUACCCAAGGUUAAAGUUCAAGAACGGUAUGAGAAGGUGGAAAAAGAUGUUGAUAACUAUAGGGGUCAUAGGUUUCCCUUCUUUUUUUUUUUUGUCUUUAGAAAAUAAAAAUACAUAGGACUGUCAAGGAGUUUUUCCAUACCAUGCUUGGGCUUUGGAUGUAUGUUUCCUUGACAUGAGAUGAUUGCUACCUUGCUUUAGAUCCCUUGUUAACGAUGAUGCAUGAACCAGGCAUGGAAAUCUUCAAUGACUAUCGUGCAUGAUUUUUAUGUUCAAAAAGAUCCAGUCCUCUAGCUGUGCAUAAUUAUUGGCCAAGCCGUAAAUAAAAUGAUUUUUGGUUGAAGAAGAAUCGGUAUGUGGAAGGGUUUCUGGUUCAUUUCUUCUUACUGUCCCAUGGCUUUUCGUUAAUGCUAGUACAGCUAUAUUUCUCUUUUCUAAAGUUAAGUAGGUUGAUAUCUAGAAAUAGGUUUAUCACGGGUUUAAGAAUAUCAAAGAAAAGAAAAGAAAAGAAGCUAAAAAAAAAUAAUUUUAAUUAUUUUUCAUGUUUUGAAGAGCGUUUUUGCAAUUAAUUUUUCAUUCUUUACCCUUUUAUAUUUAAAAACAAGUUUAUUAAAGCCACAUGUAUCUGGUCUUAGUUUGAAAAAAUUAAAAAUAUUAAUUUAUUUAUUUUAAUACAAUGAAUUAUGAGUUUAUACGUAAGAUAUAUUCUCAAUAUUAAAAGAAACAAAUGCAAAACAUGUCUUGGCUCUAGAAUAAUCAGGAUUGUCCCAUAAAGCCAUGGUUCUCUCUACUCGGAUAGACCUUUUUUAACCAAUAGACAAAUCAAUGAUUAUAAAAAGAAAACAUUACCUUAGUAAUAAUCAGAAAAUAAACAAUACAACUUAUCUUAGGUAUGAUAACUAGAGUUGAUGAUAAUGUCCAUCUUAUACAUAACUUGUCCCUUGUCCAAACUUUGAAGACUAGUUAUGAUUUUUAGUGAUUAAAAUACAAGAUGACGACUUUAAGUAUUUUUUAUUUAUAAAGGACAAGAAGUCCAUGUUCUUUCCACACCACACCAAAGUCCUGAACUAGGAGGAUGAUCACAAUGAUACCACAUCUGUGCUACAUUCAACAUUGUACUUUUCAUGAGUUAUCCUUUCUAUUUUUCAAUUACUUUGAUCCAAAUAAUGUGUUACCCUCUCAACAUUCUUAAAAGUUAACAUGUACUUUUACUAAUUGAUCUAACUAUGAAUGUGGUGCGAUGUAAAUGAGUAUACAAGAUUAAACGUAUGGAAGAUGGGACUUUUAAGGACUACAAAACAUGUUUGGUGGCCAAUGGCUACUAUCAACAAAAAAGGGUUUGAUUUUCAAGAGACAUUUAGUCUAGUGGGGAAGCCUUGCACUAUUCAGACAAUGCUUGAUAUUAGUGAUACUUGAGGUUGGUCGGCUUAUUAGAUUGAUAUCUAUAUACAUACAUACAUACUACUUUUCUCAAUUUUCUUGAUUCAGAUGUGUUUAUUACCCAGCCUCUUGACUUUACUAAUUAUCAAUUCCCAAACUAUAUUUGCAAACUAAAACAUUUUUUUUUAUGGUUUAAAACAAGCACCUCAUGCAUGGAUUGAUUGCUUAGUGAAUUCUUAGUUUCUCAAUGAAUUUUAUAUUUUCAAAUUUUUAAGUGAAUCCAAGUUAUAUGAUCGUGAUAACUAAAAAAAAAUGAACUAAAUUUAUUUAUAAAAUUAGCAUUGCAUGCUUAGAUUUAAAAUCAGUAAAAAAUCCCAUAGAAAGAUUAGCACCUGAUAAUGACAAGUUAACUCAGGAAACAAAUUAAGGUAACAACAAUGUUUUGAAAUUGAAUUCGACACUAGGUAUACUUAGUACAUAUAAGUUGAAGGACUGCUACCUUGACCAAUGAACUGAAAAUAUCGUUAAUUUAUAAUGAAUGGCAUACACCAUACAGUUUUACCAUAUCAACAGCAUGAAAAUUGAUAAUCGAUCCUUUUGGGAUAUGUCAAUCCCAAAUCUAUUAUUCCAUUUCUUUAUUAAUUAUCAUAAAAACAUUUAUUAAAUGUGUUGUCCUCCAACUCUUUCCAUAAAAAGAAAGAGUUGUGAACCACCACAUACAUUUGAUCAUGGACAAAAGGUAAUCAAAUAGUUGCCUCCACUAGGACAAGUAAACGUGCUCGAUUUAUCAUCAUAAGCAUAACUAUAAGCUUGAGGACACUGCUGCUUGAAAGUCAUCGAAUAUUGGUUAGGUUGACAUUUGUCAGGUGUACUGUACUCUCCUGUGCAGCAGAACUGCGGCUGGUGAAAUUCCAAACACGCGCUCUUGCAGGCAAUCACAGUCCCAUCUGCCCCCUUCACUGCUAAUCUAGGAUCACAAACAGCAUUCACGUUAGCUGCACAGCUUGUAGAAGGGCAGCCAGUAGAACCUCCUUGCGGGGUUACCGAAAUUGGGGUGUUAAAGCCAUCAACAAGGCUUAUAUCGUAAAAAUCUUUCCCACCAUCACCUCUUAGAGUAAAUUCUGCCAAGGAUGCUGGUGGGAUCGCACCGGCUCCAUUGCAUUCUAUGACACCAGAGGCACAGUCAGCAGUAGCACAAACAAACUUUCCGGAGGCAUCUGUAGAGCAUUGAGUUCUGGCCCACAAGCGACCAGACCAUGUUGCAGGGACACUUAGCGAAGAUGAAGCACCUGUUGCCAAUGUGAAGCUAGUUGAAGAUAUAGGCGGACGGCCAGCAGCCGUUAGAGUUCCUGGCCAGACUGUGUAUGGACAGUUGUUUUUGACGACGAAAGUCACAGAUUGAGCUCCUGCAUGCGUGCAAGCUGCGCAAGAUUUAUUUUUGUUGAUAUCAAUAAUUAAAUCUUGGUCCAUUCAAAGAAAAUUUUAAACAGUCAUGGUUCACGAGUAAACUGACUCGAAAAUAUUUUUAUUAUCAAAUAAAAACACGAACUCUUGUUUCAUGCUAAUUUAUGUGAAUCUAUUUUUUUAUUCAUAUAAAAAGAAUAGGACUUGAAUCUAAGACUUGGCCUUCGUUUUCUCUACGGGACUAAACGUCCGUACAUAAUUCAAUAUUUAAAAUCUUGCAUUAAUUCACUUAUUUUUCUUUUAAAAAGAUAACAUAACCCAGGUUUAUUUUUUAAUAUAUUUUUUUCUUUUUUCUUUUUUAUCCGGAAACUCCCUCCUGGAUAUGUUUAUUGGAUUCACGAAAUCCAUUGAAUAAUGAAAAAGUAAUUAAUAUUGCAUAUGCAAACAGAAAAUAUAUAUGCAAGCUGCGCGAUAUUGCAUAUGCACACAGAAAAUAUAUAUGUAAGAGCAAGCAGACUAAUCAAAGUGAAUAAUAUGCACAAUAGAGUUUUGCAUGCAAGAAUCUAAUAUAUGUAAUAUUGUAAAAGUACUUGCCAUAGAGGAAGAUGACGAGGGUGAAGGUAAUUAUAGCAAAGGGCAUACGACUCCCCAUUGCCGAGAUUUGAGGUAAGCAAGAAACACUCUAUGAACCCGUUUGCCUACGUGGUGGCGUCCACGUUUCCAACAGCUAAAUUGUGCAAGCUGUUUGGUUAAGUAACAACUGCUUAUUACUGUACAUGGAACCCAUGCAAUACAGCGUUUGAAACGCAGGAAUAAAGGAAGCAGCUAGGAGCUGCUUCCUGCACGUUGCAAGAAAAGAACCAUGCUUCACUGUUCAGUGAACAGUGGAUGCAUGGCUCCACUGUUCACCGAAUAGUUUUUUUUUUUAAUGAGUGCAGUUAAUUAAUUUCACUCGUACUGAACGUGAACAACAAUUUUUUUUUGUUCUUUUAAAAAAUUAGUUUAAGGUGCAUUACAUUUACUUGUACUAUAAUCUCAAUUUUAUUUCUGAUAAUAUUUUACCUAAUUUUGUAGUUUUUGUCGGAUGAAUUUUGUACGUAAUGGAAUUGUAGAUAGUUUAAUGAAACAAUAUUUUUUUUUUAUAUAUAAAGUAUGAUUUAUUUCACGAUGUAAUAACAAUAGUUAACUCCAUAAUAUUUAAAUUAAAAACCAUCAAUAUUAAUAUAUAUUUUGUAAAAUUAUUUUAUAACCUCAAUUUCAAAAGCACUUUUAACCAACACACAUUAAACUACUUUUUCUUCAACCUCAAUUUCAACCACAGUUUUAACCAAACACCUAUUUUUUCAAAUCAACCUCAACUAAAAGUACUUUUUAUAAAACAACUUUUUUCAAAUCACAACCACAACAGCUACCGCAAUACCAAACACACUUUAUAUUUUAAAAAGACUGUGUUUGCCACUUAUAAAUAGUAGUCAAAUAGAGGAACACGUGGAAAUCAAAAAGAGAGAGAGAAAAAAAAAAGAAGUUUGUCACUGCCAAACCAAGCAACCAUCUGCCACACGGUGUGACAUUUGACAAUGAAUGACCCUACACUUAUUAACCAUUAUUUUAAUAUUAUUUAUAUUUAUUAAAUUAUUAAAUUAAAAAUUGUCAAAGAACUAAUUCAACCUAAAUUGUUAGGUAAGACUCCCAGAUAUGAUUUAUAUUAUUCUCUAACACACCCCUUCAAGUGAAAGCCAUUUGAGUUUGAAACUUGCACAGAUCCACAUUACCUUGUGCUUAAUUUUUAUUAAAUAAAUGAGGAUGAUGAGAUUUGAACUCGUAACCGCUUGGUCAUCAAGGCUCUAAUACCAUGUCAAAGAACCAAUUCAAUCCAAAAGCAGGCGACUGGGAUGAAGAGUCCAUUGUAGAGGGGAGAGAGAGUUUUUUAAUUUAUUUAGGGCUUUGAUAUCAAAUUGAGAAUAAUAUAAUGACUUAAGUUGUGUCUUAGCCAACAUUUCCUAUUUAUAUAUAUGCGGUAGUACACGAUAGUAACUGUAGGAAUCACAAUAUUGGAAUAAUCCUACAUUAAUUCAUAUACAUAUAUAUACGUGCUAUACAUUCUAUAAUAAUCAAGAAUUAUCUGUGCUAAUAAAUAUAAAAGAAACUCGUUAAUAAUAAGUAAAGACUAAACAAGAAAAAUCAAGAGAUAAAUGUAAAACAAAAUAUUUGAUAUCGCAACACGGAGCAUGUACCUAGUUGUGUUUAAUAAUUUUUUUAUUUGAAUAAAUUUGUAUUUAAUCAAAGGAUUAUUUGUGCCAAUAAAAGGAUGUCUACCCAAUACAAUUUUUUAUUUAUUUUGUAUUUCAAAAUAUUAUGAAAUGAGCAUCAUAUGAUUAUAUUUAAUUAAUUAAUUAAUUAAAUUAUAUUAAAUGAAAAAAAUAAAUAUCUAUAAAAAAACAAAAAAAAAAUACUCAAGAUAUCCCGAGUCAUUUUUAAAAUAAGUGAACAAUCCUACAGAAAGAAAAAAAACUUAUAGAGGAUCAUAUUGUAAAAAAAAUCAAAUUAAAAAUUAUUUCAAAUAAAAAAAUAGCAAUUAAAAAAACAUGGACAAAAUUUGAAAAAUGAAAUAACAGAAGGGGAAUGAAAUUGUCAAGGAAUUCCAAUUUUAUAAAUUAUUUCAAACAAAACAAACAAUAAUCAAAAGAAUAGGGACCAAAUCCAAAAGAAUAACAAAUUGAAGGCGUGCUUUGAAAUUUUGAAGGGGCACACGCGAAAAUCAAGUAGAAAGAAAGAAGAAAAAGAAAAAGAAAAGGUUGUCGGCACUAAACCGAACAACUAUCUAUCACACGCACUGCCUCAUCCACGACGGUCUUUGGUCAACGAACGACCCUACACCUGCCACCUGAAGUGCACGGAGACCACCCAUGCACUGACCUGUACUCAUCAACUAUUUUUUUAAUAUUAUUUAUAUUUAUUAAAUUACAAAAUUGGAAAUAAACCACCAUGAUAAAAAAUAAAAAAAAAACCCAAUGAAAUAUACAAAUGCCCUUGGUUUCAACCUUAAGCGACUAAUUAACUAGAUAUCUCAAUUAAUGAGAAAGCAGAAUAGUAAACAGGAAAUUAGAGGAACGCCCUGCUUCUCACGUCAAAUGAAAGCAACACCCAAUUGAGUAACGAAUGUAACUCUGGUCCCUUGGUUUGAACCACAAGUGACUAACUAGCAGACUAGUCAACAGCCUAUUAGAGGAAUUGAAUGAAAGCAAUUGAAUGCAGGAAGAGGGCCAGGCUAGUAAACAGCCAACAGUGGCAGUUCUCCUCCAGCAUGUGCAACUGAGGAGCCGUGACGAAGGCGACACUCUUCAAAAUAAAUCUUGAAUCGAUUGACUGAUGCUCUUUUCUUUUUUGUCGGUGUAUAAAUUAGUGGUUAGCUAAUUAAUUAUGUCCCACGGGCUAUCGAUACCAUCCAUUACCAGGUUCCAUGAAAAAAAUAAAAAAAUAAAACAAGGGAUUGAUUAGUAGAGCGUUUACGUUUUCACUCUUCAAAAUUAUCACACCGUGAUGAGUGCGAGACUCUUCAAAGCCAAUUGUCGAAUGAAUGUAACUCUGGAAUUAUUCCAAAUCCACAAGUUUGAUAGUGUUGUGUUGAUUGUGAGACAUUAUUUUAAAAACUGAAGGGGAAAAAUUGUUAAAGAAUUCUAAUUUUAUAAAUUAUUCUAAAUAAAACAAGUAAUAAUCAGAAGAAUACGAAUAAAUAACAAAUUGAAAGCGUGUUUUAAAAUUUUAAUGCCAAUAAUACGUGGUCUACCCAAUACAAUUUAUUUAUUUAUUUUGUAUUUCAAAAUGUUAUGAAAUCAGCAUCACAUGCAUAUAUUUAAUUAAUUAAUUAAAUUAAAUUAAAUGAAAAACAUUUCUACAAAAAAGAGAAAUUAAAAAAAAACAACAACAAAUAAAAAUACUCGAGAUAUCCAAUUAAAUAAAUGUUAAAGGAUGAAACUGAAAUAAACAUGAUCUUAAAAAAAGAAAAAAAAACCAAUCAAACUUGGGCAAACCUCCUAAACUUGGGUUAAUCUCUAAAACUUGCAACUCAUGAAAUCCUAGACUCGAGCUUGGUUAAGAAGCACAAUUCUCAACUAAUUUAAUGUUGAAUAAUGAAAACAAGAAAAAAAUCAUUAUAAAAAAAAUGUCAAAGUGAAAAAACAUAGCAAUCAAAAGAAUGAGGAUUAAAUCUGAUAGGAAAAAAAAAUUAUGAAGGAUGAUAUUGUAAAAAAAAUCAAAUUGAAAAAUUAUCUUAAAUAAAAAAAUAACAAUCAAAAGAAUAGGUACAAAAUUUGAAAGAUAAAAAAACUGAAAGGGGAUGAAAUUGUCAAAGAAUUCCAAUUUAAUAAAUUAUUCCAAACAAAAUAAACAAUGAUAAAAAAAACAUCACCAAAUCCAAAGGAAUAACAAAUUGAAGGCGUGUUUUGAAAUUUUGAAGGGACACCUGUGAAAAUCAAGGAGGGAGAAAAGAAAAAGAGAAAGAAAAGGUUGUCUGCACCAAACCAAACAACCAAUUCACUUGGUCUUACCAAACAGUUGACCGGAUCAACUUAAAUACUAGAUUUUGAGUGAAGUGUUUAAGUUCAUGUUAAUUGUGCUGUUAAGCUAAGAUCUACAUAAUCACUGAAAUGAACAAUUAAUUCUUAAUGGCUAAUGAAUGUAACUCCGGUCCCUUGUUUGAACCACAAGUGACUAACUAGAUAUCUCAAUUAAUAAGAAAGCAGACUACUAAAUAGCCAACAGUGGCAGUUCUCCUCCAGCACCAGCAACAGACGAGCCGUGACGAAUGCAACACUCUUCAAAAUUAUCACAAUGGGAGACUCUUUAAAAUUGAAAGAAAAAAAUAAUAAAUUCACCAUCUAAUAAUUAAAAAAUAGAAAUAAAAAAAUAAACAUUGGUUAGAGAUUUAGACAUUGAGUUAGUUAAGUCGAAGGAAGAUCGAUGUUACCCUUACUGCAUCCUUUGAAAUGAAAGGUUACCUCCACAAUGCAUUUUAAAAAAUUUAUUCCAUGCAUGAUAUUAAUUAUCUAAAUUUAUUUCUAAUCUUAUUUGUGAUUUAUUUUAAUAAAAAAUUGGUGUCGGUCCCUAAAAAAAGAAGACUCGUCGAUAAAGAAAAAUCUUGAUGUCAAUCCCUAAAAAUAGAUAAUUUCAUCGAUUUAGAAAAAAAAAUAAUUUUAAUCUCUAAAACUAGAGAUUUCAUUGGUUUAAAAAAUUUUGACGUUAAUCUUUAAAAACAGGAGAUUUCAUCAAUUUAGAAAAAAAAAUUGGCAUUAAUCUUUAAAAAUAUGUGUUUUCAUCGAUUUAGGAAAAAUUGGACAUCAGUCCCUAAAAUAGAUAAUUUCAUCAAUUUUUAAAAAAUAUGAUAUUAAUCCUUAAAAAUAGGAGAUUUCAUUGAUUUAGAAAAAAAAAUUAACAUUUAUAUUUUUUUGAAUCCAAUACAAUAUAUACAUAUCUCAAUAUUGAUAUAGCGUGCACGCGCGCUCACACACGCUCGCGCACACAACAUAUAUAUAUAUAUAUAUAUAUAUAUAUAUAUAUAUAUAUAUAGUAUUAUUAAUUUUAUCAUUUAAUACAUGUAUACAUAUUUCAAAUAUAUCUAUUACUAUUUUAUUUUUUUGUUGAAUAUUAAAUAACAGUAGAACAAUGGAUACCAAUAUAGAUAUACUCGAAAUCCAAUGAAUAAAGUAUGAAUAUAUGAAUUUUUUACUCGAUGAAUACUUGGCAGGGUAUAAAUAUAAAAAAUACUAUCCCGUAGAUAUCCAUUGUGAUCCCUAUACAUAAUUUCAAUAUAUAAAAUCAAUGCAUUAAUACAUUUAUUUUUCUUUUACAAUGAUAAAAUGAUGAUAAAUAUAGAAUAUUCAUAUGUUUUUAUUCCUUUUACAUUAUGCUUUUAAUGUGUUUUAAGCUUAUUUGAGCUCAUUGAAAGUAAUUUUAUGAGUUUAGCAUGCCUAAGAGACUUGGUGAAUUAAUUGCUAAAAGAUAAGAAAUUCUGCAUUUGAUGUUUUGAACCUUGGUUUUUCUGACAGGUUUUUCACCAAGUUGGAGUUAUAGAAUGGAAAGGUGGCUUAAUAAAGGUUAAACUGCACAUAUCCAGCUUUUUAAGAAGGUAUUAUGGAAAUAAAUCCGAUCUCAUUUGAAGCUCUAAUAAGACCUGCAAACCGGGAGGAAAGAAAACAAGGGUCCCCUCUGCUACUGCUGUUGGCUUGCAUUUUCUCCCGGUUGCUGGAGUUGUUGAUGACGUUGCUGCUAAUCUUGACUGCAACCAACGUUUGGGAUGGAGCUCAAAAUUGGAGGCAACGCUAUUGAUGGCUGAGGAUGGAGUCCUACUGUUGUCAACAUGAACUAGCUUGGCUGCCGUAUUUCUCAUAAAAGGGAGGCAACCAUGAGGGACAGGGAUGAUGCUGUUGUUGUGGCGUAGAGAAGAAGUUCGUGCUGGACUGGGGGGGAAGAGGAGACGAAGGCCUCUCCUGUAACACCGAACAAAAGCUUAUAUGGUGGCUUUUGGAGGUUGAAGGGGGUCCUUUAUUCUGCUAGGUCUGUGAGAUGAGGGAGAUGAAAGGUGGUCUUUUCUUUUUGUGUUCUGCUCAGUCUAGGUUACGGGGAUGAACUGAGGGGGAAAAGGGAUAAGUUGAGAGCCAUUUCUGGAGGCCGGGGAAGAAGAAAAGGAAAGGGCUGAGGGGGGGUAGUAUAGGGUUUGUCACCCCCUCUUCUCUUAUUUUUUUUAUGUUUCUCUCUUAUAGGGUUUCUGAUUAUGGCCUCCCUCUAGGGUUUCUAGUAAUUGUAUCCCCCUUUUUUGCAUGCACUAAGAUCUAUAUUUAUAGUG
rnacentral:lncRNA from 1 species